AAAACUUCAAAACACCCCCCCUGUGGUUUCGCUCUUUCUCACUUUAGUACCCCGUGGUUUAAAAUGUAUCAAUUUGGUGCCCUGUGGUUUCAUUUUUAUCUUUUCGGCAUCUUUUUCGUUAAUAUUCGUUAAAUUAUAUACAAAAAACUUCAGAUACCCACCUAGGUUUAUCGAAUAUUCACUUUAGUACCAUUUAAUUUUAACUUUGUCACUGAUUUAAGAAAAAAAAAUGGUGAAAUUGAUAAUAAAAAAAGAAAAAUGAAACUACAGGGCACUAAAUUGAUACACUUUAAACCACAGGAUACUAAAGUGAGAAUGUGCGAAACCAUAGGGGGGUUUUUGAAGUUUUCCCAAAAGGAAAUUAAACAACUAAAAUGAAAAGUGAAAAUGGGGACCAAAAUGUUAUUUACCCUUUUGCAUGUGAGGUCCUUUUUUACUUUCCACAUAUCCAACUUAGUACAGUUGUUAGAUACCUAAAUAUAUAUGUAAUCAGUGUGAUUGUGACACUACAUAUAUGUGACCAAAUUGUGGUCCUAAACAACUAUAAUAAUAAUAAUAUAUACUUAUUUAGUUACAGUACUAUGAAGUUUCAAGAGUCUUAUUAAGAAAGUUGGUUGGAAUGUCACUCUUGUAGCCUUGACAUUUGGUCUCCUAUAUACAUUGUAUUGUUGAUCAUUUUGUUAUACCUUUUUAAUUCUUGGUGAGAUGAACACUUGAUCAUAUUUAAUGGGAUAAAUUACACUUUUGGGUCUUAAACUACAAUGUCCCAGAAAUUUUGAUUCUCAAACUUUUAAUUUAUUGUAAUUUCUGAUCGAUCUUCUUAAACUACUAUAAUUAAGUCCCAAAAUUUUUUUUUUUUUGACAGAUAGAUAGCACGCUAUCUGCUUCGUUUAUUUCAUUUAGAAAUAAACUUAGCUGGAAAUGUGAAAUAACUAGGAUUCGAAUUUGGGUCUCGGGUACCAACCACCAAGCCCUUUGCCACUUGCUCUAGGGACGGUCGGUAAGUCCCAAAAUUAUUGAUGCAGAAAAGUGGCAUAAUAUCUUAAUUAUUAUAUAAUAAUUUGUUAAUAACUAGCCAGUCGAAGGGUUGUAGGACUUAGAUGCAAUAAUUCAAAAAAUUCGAACAAAAAAUUACAAUAAAUUAAGGUUUAAAAACCAAAAUGCCAUUUUUUAAAUAUUACGUACAUAGUGACUGUUUGGCCAAACCAAAAACACUAUGUUAAGUAUUGUUUGAAGACAUAGAACUGUUUGUGAUCAAUAAAGUUUUAGAUUUACAUAAAGCAUUAGGAAUGUCUUCUUUUUUUCCCCUUUUUUUUUUCCUUAUCUUAAAAUCCUCUCGUUACCUCUCUCCUGAUUAAAAAAAUAUAUAUAAAAAUGAAGGUUCAAAUUUGAGCUUCUACCGUUAAGAUCUAGAAGUUCACUUCAUUCUCUCAUUACACCUACGUGACACACUAAGGGGCUGUUUACUUGGUGUAAGUGGAGGGGUGGAAGUACAAGGGACGAAGCCAGAAAUUAAAAUUCAGGAGAGGGGUGGGGGGGCAAAAUUUAGAUUUGAUAAAAAAAAAAUUCGUCCUCGGAUUGUAAGAAAAAAAAUUUGUCAGAUUCACUGAUACCGACAAUAUGCUCAAAAAAGAGCAAGACUGUAAGAGUUGAAAGAAAAGGACCAAGAAAUUGGAAAAAAAAUUGAGAUACAGAUUUUGUUAAAAAAAUUAAUUUGGCCCUCCUAAAAUUAAAAUUUAUAAUAUUUUAAUUUUUAUUAUAAAGGACUUUUAUAUAAUUUAAAAAAAUUUAGGAGGGGCCAUGGCCACUGUGGGCCCCUCAAUAGCUCCGUCACUGUGGAACUCAAGUUCCAUUACUUCCGCUAUUUAUUUUGGUGUAAGUAAAAAAUAUAGUGUAACUCAAGUUACAUUAGACCUCAACUUUAUCUACUUUCGACUUCUCCCUUUGAAGUGCCGAACUCGACUUCCGCCACACUCAACCUUCUUUAACAAAUUUAUUAAAUAGUAAAACCUAAACUUUACUUCCUUUAUAAUAGGUUAGAAUUACCUUAUUUAUAAUAAAUUAGAAUUACCUUUAAAUAAUAAUAAAAAUUUUAAUUAUUUAAGUUUACCACUACAUUUAGGAGAUAACGGGAUCUACUUACUUACAUCAAAACAAACAAUGAAACUCAAAAAAUUAAUUUCACGAGCACCAAGUUACAUCAAAAUAAACAAAAGAAGUAAUUGAAUUUACUUUUCAGACUGUAUGAGUUAUGUCAAGUCAAACAACAAAAAAAAAUCACACAUCAGGAAAACUCAAACACCACCUGCACUUGACUUACGUUGAAUCUAUAGAUUCGUCAAUCCAAACGCCCCCUAAUAGUCCCAUAUCGGAUGAUAAUGGAAUUGUAAUUGAGUAUAUAAGAGACCAUGAAUACUGGUAAUAAUAACUAGGUUUAAAAAUUUUUGGGAUGGUGGUUUGAGUCCAAUGAGUUAUUAUUGCUAGCGGAUCGGGUCGUUACAUUUGAUAUCAGAGCCAACCACCAGUAGAAAGUAGGAGAUGAGCCUCGGCAGAGCUUGCAUUUGAAUGACAUGUUAAGCCAGAGUUUGGAAAUGACAGGCUAUCACCUGGUGAUAUUAGGCCGUGUACGAUUAGAUCUGGUUGUUAUGGUCGUUUAUAUAGACAGAUGAGAGAACAAAAUUUGGACCAUAAAGUAUUCUAAAAUUUUUGUAUGUGUAUAAUACAUAUAAACAAAACUUUUGUUUAAUAUCAUUUGUACAUAAAAUUUCUAUAUUUAUUUUUUAUGAGACUUUUCAUCAUUUUAAAAGGGUCAAUAGAAUUGGUUUGAUAUAAAACUUAGCAAACCUAUUACAAUUUUUAUUUUGCUGAAAAACGUAGAGUUAUAGACCAUUUUUUGACUAUCCAAUCUUUCAAAAUUUUAAGGCCAAUUUGCAUAAAAAAAUCUAUUAGUUUUGAGCUUUUGCAAAAGUAGGCCGACUUUUUAGAUUUUGCAGAUUCGGAUCGGAUUUUCAGAAAACUGACAAAAAUAUUUUUAUUCUCUUUCCUCUCUCCUCUUUUUUCUGUCAUUCUUUCUUUUUUUAUCGAUCCGAAGAGAGAGGCGGAGGUGGCCCGCCUCGCCUAUGUCCCGUGCGCCCUCACCCUCGCCCUCGUCCGCGCAUCCUUCCUCUGCCUUUCUUGUCUCUGACCCCGCUAAGGCCGCGCCUUGACUCUCUUUUUUUUUUUUUCUCUCUCUCUCUUUCCGAACCUUCUCCAUCGCCUCUCCGGCCCUUUACAACAAUAAAGAAGGCAGUGUCAAGUCCUCUUACUCUCUUUUUUUCUCUCAUUCUUUUUUUUGGCUAAAUUACAUAAAACCCCCCUGUCAAAAUUUGAUUUUUCACUUUUCUCCCUGCUAUUUAAAAACCUACACUUUGCCCCUUUGUAAAAUGAAAAAUGUUCACAGGGGGUUACAGUGUGAAAUGUGAUGACAAAAUGACCAUUUUGCCCCUUACUAUUUUCGUCUUCGCCCUCAUCUUGCUCAUCCGCCCCCGCGAUUGGUCGCGAUUUGCACCUCGAUCGGUCGCGAUUCCUCUCCAUUUUCUUCUCCACUUGCUCCUCUUCUCCUCCUGCACCUUCGUCGCCCCUCCAUUUUGGCGAUUGUAGGGAGGAAAUCAAGGUGCGCGUCAAUGGAAAGGUGGGCAAAGGCAACGAGGGCGAAGGCGAGGCAGCCGAGGAGGGCAAGAGGGUGUUUGUGGGUGCGGACGAAGACGUGGGCGAGGACGAGGCAGUGAAGGAGGGCGAGGUGGCUAGGUGGCGAGGCGGAUGAAGGCGAAGCACAGUAGAGGGUGGAGGGUAUUUUUGGCAUAAAAAAUAUUUUAUAACGGAACCCUAACAAAAAUCACUAACGGUAGGGGGUAAAGUGAAUAUUUUUUAUUUUACAAGAGGGCAAAGUGUAGGUUUUUAAAUGACAGUGAGGAAAAGUAAAAAUCAUAUCGGGUUUUGUCAGAAGGGUUUUCUGUAAUUUAGCCUUUUUUUUUUUGUCUUCAACUCUCCCUCUAUCGCCUCCGCGACCCUCCAUAACGGUAAUGAGGACAUCGUCGCAUCCUCCUUCUCCGCCUUCGCCAACGCAGGCACCGAUGCCGACGCCGGUGCCGGAGAAGGAGGACUCGGAGCAAGUGUGUGUGAGAGCGGAGCCGAGAAAAAAAUGGCAAAAAAGAAAUAAAGAAUAAAAUAUAAAGAAAAAUAGUUUUUAAGAAAAAUAGUUUUUUCUACAAGAAAAAUAAAAAACUAGAGAGAAAAGAAGAAGAUGAUGAAUUUGCACUAUUUUAGAAAAUGUUGUACUACUUCGGGAGAACGUUGCACUAUUUUUGAGAAAAUUUACUCUCUUUGAGAGAAAAAAUAUACUUUUUUGGAUGAAAAUUACACUCUUUGAACAAAAAUUGUACUAUUUGGUCGAAAAUUUCACUAUUUGGUCAGAAAGAGGAGGAGAAGAAGGAGAAGAAAUAGUGUAUUUUUGUCCAAAUACUACAAUUUUCGUUCAAAGAGUGCAACUUUCGUUUAAAGAGUGCAACUUUUAUCUAAAAAAGUAUAUUUUUUCUCUCAAAGAGUGUAAAUUUUUUUCUAAAACAGUGCAACGUUUUUCUAUAACAGUGCAAUAUUUUUCUCAAAUAGUACAAAUUUAUUAUCUUCUUUUUUUCUCUCUGCUUCUUUAAUUUUCUUAUAGAAAAAACUAUUUUUCUUUAUAUUUUAUUCUUUAUUCUUUUUAUUUUUUAUUUUCUGGCUUUCACCCGCACUUGCUCCGAGUCCUCCUUCUCCGGCACCGGCGUCAGUGCCUAUGCUGGCGAAGGCGGAGGAAGAGGAUGUGGUGUUGUCCUCAUUACCGUCAUGGAGGGUCGCGGAGGCAGUAGAUGGGGCUGAAAAGAAAAAAAAAAAAAACGAGAGAAAAAAAUGAGAGGAAGAGGACGUGACGCUGCCAUCUUUACUAUUGUAAAGAGCCGGAGAGGCGGUGGAGAAAAGUCGGAGAGAAAAAAAAAAAGGAGAGUUGAGAUGCGGUUUCGGCAGGGUUGGAGGCGCGGAAGGCGAAGGGAAGGUGCACAGGCCAGGGUGCGCAGGAGAGGGCGAGGGGGAGGAUAGAGGCGAGGGCGACGGGACAAAGGCGAGGCAGGCCGCCUCCGUCGCCCUCUUUGGAGAGAGAAAAAAAGAACGAGAAAAAAAAAGAGAGAGAAAAGGGAAAGGGUAUUUUGGUUAAUUUUCUGAAAAUCAAUCCGAAUCUGUAAAAUCCAAAAAAAGGCCUACUUUUGCAAAAGCUCAAAACUAAUAGAUUUUUUAUGCAAAUUGGCCAAAUUUUAGUUUUAUUACUCAACUUUUUAAUUUAUUUAAUUUAAGUUAUUUGAAAAGAUGCAUUAAAAAUUUGAAGUUGAAGAAUAAUAAACUGACUCAAAUCACAUAAAUUAAAAGAUUAGGUGCCAAAAAUAAAAUUUUUUAAAAUUAGACGGUCAACCACAAUAGAUAAUAGUUGACAUAAGUUCUAUAUAAUUUUAUCUUUUAUUAUUAUUAUUAUUAUUAUUAUUUUCUAUCUUGGAAGCCUGCAAUUAGGGGGAAGUGGUUAGGAUAAACUCGGAUCGAACCUGACACCGGAUUCGAAUCCGACACCAGUUUCAAUAGGAUGCGAAUAUGGAUGUUAAAAUUUAGCAUUUGACACAUAUUUGAAUACGAAUUCACAUCCCAAAAAAGGUAAAAAAAUAAAUAUGGAUGCGAAUGUGAUUUCUUAAAAAAUCUGAUCAUAUUCAACCAUUUUUACCUUUAGGAAAUAAUAGGGAUGUUAAUAUAUAUUGUAAAGUAGUUUUCUAUCAAAUUCUUUGUUUAUUUUAUUAUAAGUUUCAUGUUAAAAUUGCAUUUAUAUUUAUUUGAAUAUUAAAUUUUAUUAAAUAAAAUAUAGAUAUACGAAGUUUGAACACAUAUAUGAAUUUUUAAUUGCAAUGUAUGUUUUAUUCGCGCUAAUUCGAGUUCACAUUUUUUAUAGGCAUAUGUAGUAUAUAUUAUUAUUCAAAUAAUAUUCGAAUACAAAUUCGAUUUAUAUCUGAAUCCAAAUUUAUUUUUAGCGUAUGUAGCGAUGAAAAUUUAGCAUUCGAUAUAUAUUCGGAUACGAAUUCGUAUGUGAAAAAAAUAUAAAUGUAGAUACGAUUUUAUUAAAAAUUUAACUGUAUAUCACCCGCUGCAUGUAAUAAUUAGGGUUAAUUUCAUACAUGUAUCUGCAAAUAUAGUAAAUUACAAAUAUAUCCCUACAAAGUUCAAUGUUGUUUCUGUAAAAGUCAUAAUGUUUUCAAAUAUGUUCCUUUGGUUUGUUAAUGUUAGAGCAUUGUUUAUUUUAUAAGUAAAAUAGUCUUUUUGCCAUCACAAAUAUGUCCUUUAAAAAAUUCUAACUGUUAAUUAAAGAGGGAAAAAAAAAAGGUCAAUUCACCUCAUUAACUAAUUCGGCUUAAGUAUUUUACCUAUUGUUAACUAAUUUUUUCCAACGAAUUCAAACAGUAGAGAUAUAUUUGUAAACAUCAGGACUUUUGCAGGAAUAACAUAUAAAAAUUAAAUUUUAUAGAGAUAUAUUUGUAAUUCACUAUUAUGUUUGUAGGGAUCUGUAUGAAAUUAACUCUAAUAAUGAUUAGAUGACUUGAAUAAGAUGUUGGAGGCGCAAAUGAGCCGUUGGACUCUAACCAUUCAUUUAUUUAUACACAAAAUCUCACUCCUCAACCAACAUGAAUCAACAUCAAUGAUUACAAGCAAUGAUUGUGUGUUGGCAAACAUGACAUCUCCCCCUCAACAACUCCUCUCCAGUUUCCACACGCGUCUUCUUCAUUCCUCUCUCAUCAUAAGCUUUCCCUCCUCCACAUGCCCAUAUAGUUAGGGAGAUAGAGACAAGACUAAAUUACAUUUUUAAGUCAUGUAUUCUAAUUCUCAAAUUUUAAUUUAUUAUUUAAUUAUUUUAAUUGAAAUUUUUAGAAUUAUAUAUAUUGCUGAUAUAAAAGUGUGAUUUUGCAUCUCAAUUAUCGGCGUAUCAUCAAUUCCAUCACUAAAACAUCAUUUCUAUAUAUAUUGAUAAUUCAUCACUAUAUAAUCAAUUAAAUCGGAUUAUAAGACUUGAUUAUAAUAAUUCUCAAAGUUUGAGCCAGAAAUUAUAAUAAAUUAAAGUUUUAUGACCAAAAGUUUCACCCCGCUUAUAGCUUGAGGACCAAACAUGCAAUAUUUUAACCCAAAUUAGUAUAUGUAUGAGGUGUACUCAUACGCCUAGAAAGAUUUAUUUGUUGAGUUGAGCUCCUAUGCUUUUAAAAGUACUGAAAUAUUCGCAUUUGUGACUUUUUAGCUGCCGAAUCGCUCAAGAUCCGUUCAUCACUAUCUAUUAAGUCUCUAUUAUUGGUACUGUACGGAUUCUAAAACAAUCCGACGAUUAAAAAAUCACAAACACGUUAAGCUUCUUCUGUUGCUUUUAUCAUUACACAUCUGACUUGAGCGUAGAACCUCAACUCAGAAAUGUUAAUUCUUUGAUAUUAAAUGUUUUAUCAUUAAAUGUAUAUAUAAGUAUUAAUGAACGGGGGAGUGAAAGAUAACAAACUAAAAAGUGGUUGGGCUUUCUAUUUUGUUUGCCCCUCAAGUCUUCGACCAGCAUUUAUUAUUUGGUUGGUUGCAUGGCUCCAAGAUUUGGACCACAUUUGUAGAUUUUUCUUUUUUUUUUUUCCUUAGAUUUUCACAUGCGUUUGAUUUCACUAGGAAGCAAGAAUUUAAAUGUCCAUCGGCACGGACUAUAUCGUGCUAGUAAGAUAUCGACACGCUAUAGCUUCUAUGCCGAUGGCACAACUAAAAAUCCUCUAUUUUUGAAAUUAGUAAGUAAUUUUCUUAAUAAAAUUCAAAAGAUUUGAUAAAAAUAUAUAAUAAAUAAUUGACAUAAUUUAUUGUUAAAGAAAAUAAAUAUUUCUUGCCAUUAUAUGUCGACACAUAUAUAUUUUUUGUGAUCAAUAUGCACCGGUAUAGCCCAACAUGCAUCGUGCCAACAAGUUUCCAGCACGACUCCGUGUCACGACACUUAAAUCCUUGCUGAGAAACAUGCGUUAUGUAUAGUAAUAAAGAGUACAAUAGAAAAUAUUGUAUUUAUUACUAUAAAAAAUAGCUCGUCGUCUAGAUCGUACUUGUCAAUUUGGUUAUGAUAUGAUUUCUGCAGUUCUAUUGAAAAAUUGAGAAGGGUAAAUUGCACAAUUUAUCCUUAAACUAUCAGUCACAUGGCACUUGGUCUUCAAACUUUAAUUAUUUUAAUUUCUAGCUCGAACCUUCUAAAUUAUUACAAUCAAGUCCCACGGCUUAGUUUAGUUACUAAAUGUUGAUAAAUUAUUAAUAUAAAAGGAAUGUUGAAGUAUUAUGAUUGUUAAUGCAAAAAAAAAAGAAAAGAUGUUACUUUACUUUUACAUCAAUGACGUAUCAAUAUUUAGUUAAUUAUAUUGAGUUGUGAAAUUUAAUUGUAAUAAUUUUGAAAUUUCGAGCCAGAAAUUAAAAUAAAUUAAAGUUUGAGGAUCAAAAUGUUAUUAGACUUGUAGUUUGAGGACCAAAUGUAAUUUACCUAAUUGAGAAGCAUAUCUCUUAUAUGUUUUUUUUUUUUUUUUUUUUUAUUCAAUAGCAUUAGAUACUUCUCAAUACCAAAGGUGCAUAUGGGAAUAUUUAUUAUUGGUAAAAAAGUACAAAACUUAUAUGAACUAUAGACCAUUUUGAUCGGAGUUGGCUAUCUCAUCUUUCAUAAUUUUAAUUUCACUACUCAACAAUUCAAUUUAUUUGAUUUGAAUUAAUCAACGGCAUUUUAACUUCAAAAUUUGAAUAUGUUGUUGAUAUUUAUAAGUUUAGAUAACAUACUAUAUGUAAUUUUACUAACUAUAAAUUUACUAAAGUAAUUAGUUUAAAUUUUGAAGCCAAAGUACCGUUCUCUAAUUCAAAUCAAACAAAUUGAAAGGUCAGAUAAUAAAAUCAAAUUUUAAAAGAUUGGAUAGCUGACUCAAAAUUCUCCAUAGUUCAGAUAAGUUCCGUAUGUUUUUAACCUUUAUUACAUUCAUAAAUCAAUAAGAGCUUUUCAUAUUAUAUAUUAAGUUUGGGGUUUAGGGUUUAGGGUUAUAGGGUUUAUAUAUUUAAGCGUUUCAAAUGAAAAAAGGGGUUGAUGAGUGAGAAUGUAUAUUAAGUCUUCAAUUUUUGAUCUGUUAGUACACCGUUCAUCUGAAUUGUACUCUUAUUUAGAGUAAUUGCUAUCAUAAACAUUGAGUGAUAAUGUAUAUUAAGUCUUCAAUUUUUGAUUUGUUAGUACACCGUUCAUCUGAAUUGUACUCUUAUUUAGCGUAAUUGCUAUCAUAAACAUUGAGUGAUAAUGUAUAUUAAGUCUUCAAUUUUUAAUCUGUUAGUACACCGUUCACCUGAAUUGUACUCUUAUUUAGAGUAAUUGCUAUCAUGACAUCGUACGAUAAUUACUACUACGAGUAUUGUAGGAUAGUAUUCUAUCGAAUCAUUGCUCUAGUGACAUGCUAUAUGCUAAGGCCAAAUUAAUUAGCUUGUACAGUACAGACUAACACAUCAGCAGAUAUAUAGAUAUAUUAAAAAUUCAAUUCUUUUCUCCAAUUAUUAAUGAAUCUUGGCAUAGAUACCUGAAAAACAUUGCCUUUAUUAGUAUAGCAGUUGAUGUCAUAGUAUGCUGGUAUGCUGAUGUAAAAAGAACAAAUUAAGUUAUACAAUAACAACAUAUCAAGAUGCUCAUAAUUUAUUAAAUAUAAAUUUGAUAAGGGUCAAAUUAUUGCCAUUUUAUCCACUUCUAACUGGAAACCAGAAAAUCAAAUUGAUCGAUUUUCAAUAAUUUAAUAUGUUUAUUAAUCUUAAAUUAUAGUUAAAUAAGUGGAGAGUUUAACUACUUUUAUCUACUAAUAAUUUUUACGGCCCGUACAUUCACGACUUUUGUUUGGCAACGAAGAAAUAAAAUUUAAAAGGGUAAAUUUCAAAUUCGCUUCUGCUCCUUGCGGUAUAACAUAUUUUUUACUUGGCUUUUCAAUAGUUCAAAAAGUUGCACUUUGCUUCUUUAUAGUUUAGCUUAUUUUUAUUUUGCCAUUCUGUGAUUCAAAAGUUUUUUUUUUUGAGAGAGAUAGGUAGCACGUUAUCCGGUUGGUUUAUUUCAUUUAGAAAUUGUUAGGAGCCGAAUUCCCUUCUCUUUGACCCGGUCAAAGACCUUCCUCGGGAAGCGCGUCGGGAUGCGGAACGGCUACGAUUAGUAACCCUUGAAGUUUGCGCCCUUCGACUGGAUCAAGCGAUUCGGCUGAUGAGGGAUCGGAUCAGCCGAGUUUGAAACUUUCUACUGUAGAAACGGUUCGGCUGGAUGAGCCGAAUGUACGGAAUACACUGUAUUUUGGGUCGGCUAAUGAGCCGAAUGCCUUUAUAUAUUAGAUUGGAAUUAGAAGCUCAUACAAACAAGAGUGUGCUCGUAAGGCAUACAGACUCUAGAAAUCUAAAUUAAAGGCUACUCCUAAGAAAGACAGAAAAUGCGGGAAAAGAAAAGAUUACAAGUAAAACUACUCAUAGAAAAACGAUAAAUGCAGAAAAUAAAAGUAUUAAAAAUGCAGUGGUCUUCUUGUUCAGGGGAGAGAAAGACCCCUAUUGCAGGUUUCGAAAUUACUAUUUAUAGUGAUGUCUUCUCAGCUCACAUUAUUGGUCGGUUUUUAGUAGUGGGGGGAGUGGUGUAGCCAUGAUCGUGGAAGUUACACCCCACUUCUCAACCGUUCCCGCUUAAUUUUAAUUUUGGCAUCAACAGAAAUAAACUUAAAUGAAAAUGUGAAUCAAUUAGGAUUCGAACUUGGGACCUUGGGUACCAACGAUCAAGCCCUUUGCCACCUGUUCUAACGACGGUUGAUGUGAUUCGAAAGUUUUUUUUUCGAGAAAUAGGAAGCAUGCUACCCGCUUCAUUCAUUAGGAAAAUGAACUAGGCUUACAUAAUGGUGGCAGUCGGGGCCUCCGAAGGAAGAGGGAGUGAAAAAACAUAUAAAAAGGAAAACAAAAACAGCAAAAAAGCAAAAAAGAUCAACAAAACGACAAAAAGAACGAACAAACAAAGAACCACAAAAAGUUAGCAGUGUGCUGUCCAGGUGGCCUUCAACAGUUUAACACGAUCCAAACACCGGGAGGGGUUGGGGGCGAUCUCUCGAAAGAUUAAACCGUUCCUCUCCGUCCAAACAACCCACCAGAUAGUUGAAAGGAGAGAAAGAGAAAUAAGUCUCUCUUUGGUGUCUUUGAUAUCAAUCGGAUUAGACCAGAGCUCUCUAACAUCGGCGCGGGAUUCAGUCAGAGGCGCCAAACCGUCAACGCUGAGCAGUAAGAAACGAACAAAAAUGCAGGAGUUCAUAAGGUGAUCACAGCUCCCAGUGUUAACGGCACAAAAGAUGCAGAAUUAAGUCGCAAGCCACCCUCGUUUGUGAAGUCUAUCUACAGUGGGGAUUCUCUUCCGGAGUAGUAGACAUAAGAAUACUUUGAUCUUAGCGGGGAUCUUCAGUUUCCAGAUAUGAAGACUUAGCGCAUCCAUCGUACCUAUAUCUGUGAGAAAAAGGUAAAAAGAUUUGACGGAAAACUUUUGAUUAGAGGUCCAAUGCCAGGUGAUGAGGUCCAAAGACUGAGUUGGGCGCAGGGGUUGAAGCAAGCCUAUUAACAACUCCUUUUGUUUGCGGAAUUCCGUAGAGAGAGGUCGUACAGGGCCCCGGCAGAUGUACUGCUACCGCCAACCAUUAAGGCCCCAACAUUGUGCGAUAGUAGACUCUUUAUUCCGAGUGUGACCGUAGAUUUCUGGAAAAAGAGUGCGAAGGGGGGUUUCCCCUAGCCAGAUUGAUGACCAGAUCCUAAUGUCUCUGCCAUUUUUGAGCUGGUAGGUUGCACCACAUUUGAAAAUGUCCCGGCACCGUAGCACGCUUUUCCACCAUUGUGAGAAGGGGUGUGAAAGCUCUGCCCUCGUACAAAGGCCUGCGUCUAAUGUAGUACAGUGUUCUGACCAAUUCGUUCCAAGGUAGGUUAGGUUCGUUGAAGAAGCGCCACCACCACUUCGUAAGUAGCGCCAUGUUCAUAGAAUCCAAAUCCUUGAUUCCUAGUCCUCCAUCCUUUUUACUUUUGCAGACGGAUUUCUAAUUUACUAGACAUGUCCCCCCGGAAAUUUUAGUGCAUCCUCUCCAGAAGAAAGCUCUCCUAAGUGAUUCGAUUUGUCGCAGCACCCACUGAGGAGCUUUAAAGAUGGACAAGUAGUGGAGUGGUAGAUUUGCUAGGACAGAGUUCACGAGUGUAAGUCUACCUCCUUGAGAGAGGAGCUUGGCUUUCCAUCCUUCGAUUCUCUUAUCUAUGCGGUUGACAACUAUCGACCAAUCUUCUUUACGCAGUGUUCUGUAGCAAAGAGGCAGCCCUAGGUAACGGAUUAGGAGACUCCCAACUUUGCAGCCCAGGAUAUUGGCAAGUCUCGGAGCUCUAGAAUUGUUGGAACCCAAGUAGUACAGUUCAGACUUAGCUUUAUUGAUCCGGAGUUCCGGGGCCCAUUCGUAGAUUUUCAUAAGAAUCGUAAGUUCCUUAGUAUGUAUUUUCUGAGCUCGCAGAAAAAAAUUGUGUCGUCAGCAUAUUGGAUUAAAGUAGUUAUACUUAACAAUUCAGUGGUUUAGUGUAUUUUUUACUUUGUUAGCUUGUGGAUUAUAAAAAUUUUUUAAUUUUUCAUUUUAUUAUACAUAAAUUUUUUUUUGAUGAAAUAAAAAUUAAACUAUAAGGGGGCCAAAGUUCAACCUUUUGAACUAUGGGGUAGCAGAAUGAAAAUGCACUAUAUCACAGAACAAUAAUUUGAGUCGUUUGGUUGAAUUAUAAAUAUACUACUGCUACAGAUAUUUUAUAAUAUUUUUUUACAUAUUAUUAAUGUAUUAACAAAUCUAUGUUGUAUAUUAAAGUGCGUGUACAACCUAAUCACGAGACUCCAAAUCAUGCAUGGUGUGCCAAUAUAUAAAGAGGGACACAUGAUGGAUAUCACAAAGCAUCUCUCAUUAAAUUUUAUAAAAUUAGUUUUUUUUUUCUUUUCUUUUUGCUUAUUUAUGAGCCGUUUGUAUCUGUCAAUCCUAGCCGCCCAUCCUAAGUAUCGACGCAAGCAAGCAAAAAAAAAAAAAAAAAAAAAAAAAAAAAAAAAAAAAAAAAAAAUCCAUUUGUUGCCCUUUGAAGGGAUAAAACUUCAAUAGGUAGUUUCACAAUGACAUCUCCUUAAGGAGCCCUUUAUUCAAUGUUGCAUAUUAAUUUUGCUUUCAUUUAGUAGCUCGUUAAAUAUUUUUUAAUACUAAAGUUAAAAAGUUUAAAUGUUUUUAAAAAAUUGUAAUACUUAGAUAGAAAUAAAACUAACACAUAACAGUAAAUCAGGACUCCUUAACAAGGUGUUGUUGGAAAAGUCCCCCACUGUUGUUUUUUCCAUUUCAAGACAUGUUGCUCGGAGUUUGGGCUCAAACCAAGAAUAUGCUUAUUUAAACUAUAUAUUAUUUUAGGUAAACAAGUACAUAACUUAUCUAAACUAUAUAUUAUUUUGAAUCAACUAUCCAAUCUUUUAUAUUUUUGAUUUUACGAGCUAGACUGAUAUACUAUCGGUAGCACAGAGAUCUUCGUGCUACAAAGUUGUUUUCAAUAAUAUAGCUUCUAAAUCGAUGAUCGGCUCUGUUAGACUUGAUCUACACUAAUAAAAGUGUUUGGAAACUAAAUUUCAUAAUUUUUCGACAUCAUUUACCUAUCAAACGAUUAGUCUAAAAAUGAAUGGCUGAAAAUAAAAAUCUAAUAAAAAAUGAUGAUAAAAGACUUGAAUUUAAGAUCAGAGGUAUUGAUCUUACUCUAAAUAGUGAAAAAAAAUUUCUAUAAAAAUUUCAUCAGAUUUGGAUUAUUUUACACCGUCAAAUUCACAAACGCAUCACAUCGAUCAUUAAAAUUAUCAAUUUUGAGACCUUUUGAUCACUAGCUAAAUGAUGUCGAAAAAUUAUAAAAUUUAGUUUUCAAAUACUUUUAAUAGUGUAGAUCAAGUUUAACAGAGCCGAUCAUCGAUUUGAAAGCUGUAUUAUUGAAAACAACUUGGUAGCACGGAGCCCUCCGUGCUACCGGUAGUAUACCAGUCUAGCUCUUAAUUUUACUAUCCAACUUUCCAAAUUGUUUAAGUUACUCAACGAUUCUUCAACUUUAAAAUUUGAAUAUCUCGUUUAUCUUUACAGAUUUAGUUUGUAUACUUAUGCAAUUCUCAUAAUUACAAUUCAUUAAAAUAAAAAAUUAGCUUAAUUUUAAAGUCAAAGUCUCGCUUGACUGACUGAAAUUAAACUAAUUGAAAGGCUGAGUUAGAAAAUCAAAAUUUUAAAAGAUCGAAUAAUAGAUUCAAAUAAAUUUUAUACAUUUUUACCAAUUAUUUUUUCAUUCUUGGACUAUGAGAUGGGGAAUGUUUUGAUCCUCAAAUUUUAUGUAAGGCAAUUUUUGACUUAAAACUUUUAAAAUUAUUACAAUCUACGGUCUAAUUUAAUUGAUUAAAAGAUGAUGUGCUAGUAUUUUAAUUAUUGCCGUCGCGUUAACCACAAUGCUAUUAUUUGCUGUCAAAUCAAGGAUACAUUAUUAUUUAGUCAACUAAAUUACACCGUGGAGUCUUAAAAAUGCAACAAAUUACAGUUUGAGAAAUGCUACAUCAAAAUAUUUUCAACAAUUUCUUUUAUAGAGUCAAAAUAAGAAGCAGAAAUUUGGCGUUGCUAUUAAUGAGGCGUAAAAUCUCAUCGACACUUUCCACCGCAAUAGCAGCUCUAGGUUUUAUGAAAUAUUUUACGAGAGACUAGCGCCGACUAAAGCAAAUGCAAAAGCAAAAAUAGAGUCAAACAAGCUGUUAACAUAUACAUCAACAUUUUAAAUGGUCACACUUCACAAUUAAGUGAAAUAUGAAGGAAUAGCCUAAAAGGUUAAGAAGGUUAAGGGUAUUAGUACUAGACCUGGGAAACGGGCGGGUUGGGUAACCCGCAGGCGGGUUAUUGUACCCGUGGGUUACUUGGGCAUCGGUAAAAUUUACCCGCAAAUUUUUGGGUAGUCAAUAUCUUUACCCAUACCCGCCCGCGGGUGGGCGGGUGGGUAUGCGGGUUACCCGCAAAUUUUUUUUUUUUUUUUUGUUCUUAUAUUUUUUAAAUGCAAAACACAUAUAUAUAAGUUGUAAAAGCGUAAUAUAACUCAUUGUUUAAAAUACCAUAACAUAUAAUAAAAAUAUUUAAAGUCUUAAAGCAAAAAUAUUUCAUAAUAUAAAAGACACGCAAUAAAAAAUUAGGAUUGAAAUUUUUAGGAUGAGUAAAUAAAAAAUAUAUAUUAAUUAAGAAAAUAUAUUUUAUAAUUAAAAAUAUAUGCGCUGGUACCCGCGGGUUACCCAAAAUGCCCACUGCUUAAUGGGUACCCAUCCGGUUUACCCGUAAUUUUUUGGAUUGGAAAAGUUGGUACCCAUACCCAUAAAUUUGUGGGUAACCCGCGGGUUUGGGUCAAGAUUGUCAGGUCUAGUUAGUACUAUAGCGGUUUUAAGAUGGAUAUCAAAGUCAAUCACCAACGGAAAGUAUAAGAUGACUCUCGCCUCAGUCAAAGUCAUUCAGCAAAUAGAGCGUGGCUCCCUAGCUGAUGGUCGUUGUGGGUUGAUCACAUCUCCUCACAAGGUGGGAUAAGGCUAACGAAAUGAGUUUCAUAUCGCCCAGUGUUUAUAUGUGUGCGUAAGUCUGAAGAGGACGUCAGAACUUAAAAAGAGUAAAAAUAUGACUUUUCUAGAAUUUUGGAAUAGUCCUAUAUAUAAAAUAUGAUAGUACUAAACAUUUUAACCCAGCUAUAUCAUUUUGGACGAUAGUCAGGCACAAAAGAUUAAGAGAGUUAAGCGUGUUAAGAUUACAGUAGUUUUAAAAUGGAUGACCUCUUAGGAAGCAGGGUGGAGAUGUAAAGAAAUGAUUUGGUACUUUUUUUUAAAAAAAAGGAAAAACUUCAAAAACCCCCCUGUGGUUUCCAACUUUCUCACUUUAGUACCCCGUGGUUUAAAGUGUAUCAAUUUGCCCCCCUGUGGUUUUGUUUUUAUUUUUUCUAUAGUUUUUUUCUUAAUAUUUCAUUAAAUUAUAUGCAAAAAAACAUCAGAUAUCCAUCUAGAUUUACCGAAUAUUUACUUUAGUACUCUUUAAUUUUAAUUUUGUUACUGAUUUGAGAAAAAAAUAAUAAAAUUGAUAAAAAAAAGAGAAAAACGAAACCACAGGGGGCAAAUUGAUACACUUUAAACCACAGGGUACUAAAGUGAGAAAGUUGGAAACCAGGGGCGGGGGGGGGUUUGAAGUUAUUCCAAAAAAAAAUAAAAAAAUCUUAACCGUUAUUAAAAGAGGGUAAAAUUGUAACUUUAAUACUUAGCAGGUAAAAGGAUUAUUAUUUCAAGGUUAGUUUGGUAAUUAAAUAUACAAAUAUUUAAAGAAACUUUUAAUUAGGUCCCUAAAUUUAUGCAUUAAUUAGCACUAAUUUAGAAAAUUAAUUGAUUAACCAAAUUUAUGCAAUUAUUAGCAUAAUUUAGGAAUCUACUUUAAAUGUUUUAGUGUUUCUCAAAUUAUGCAUUAAUUUAAAUUAAGAAAUUUUAGAAAUAGUUUUAUUUCUAAAUACGAUGAAUUUAAAUUUUAAAAAUUAAAUACUUAAAAUUUAAAAGUGAAAUUUAAAUUAGAGAAAUUUCAUAUUACUAUUUAAAAACUAAAUUUCUACCAAGAUUUAAAAUAGAGUUUAUUCGCACCAGUUUAAAACGUAAUGCAUAAAAACUUAGAGAGUAAGAUUUCUACACUAGAUUUCUCUAGAGGAAUUUCAUAUUACUAUAUUUAAAUUUUAAUUCAAUGAUUUAAAAACUAGAUGAACCGAUUGAUUUGACUGAUCAGACUUUGACAUAGUUCUAUCAAGAAUCUGAUUUUAACCUAUUGAACCGAAUAACAUUAAGAACAAUUUGGAACCGGUAAAGAUAAUAAAUAUUUUAAACAGAAUGAUAAUUUAACUGUUAGCGCUAAUAAAUAUUUUAAAUAUAAUUUUAAACAUAUAAAUUAAAAAGAUUAGAAUUAUUGGUGAGAAAAAAAAUAGUCAGGAAUUUGAAUUCGAAUCUGAUUAACAAUCACAAAACUUAUUUCCGAACUCGGCGGAUUUCAAAAAUUCAUAUCCAAAUUCAAAACUGACCAAUAUUCCGAAACCCAAAACCAAACUUAAACCAGAAGACUAGAAUUCAAAUAAUUAUUUCUGUUUACCAUAUUUCAAAGUAUUUAUAUGAAACUUAAAUUUUUAAAAUAUAAAUUUGAAUAUAAUAUUAAAUUUUAAAUUUAAAAGUGAAAUUUAAAUUAGAGGAAUUUGAUAGUACUAUUUAAAAUUUAAGUUCAAUGAUCAUAUUGUCAAAUCAUUUGAAAUUUUCCUUAUAUGAAAUGCCAAAUUAUGAAAGGAAAGAUAGAGAGAGAAAAAGGAAAUAAAGAAAAAAAAUAAAAAUUUUGAAAAUAUAGUAGAUGUAAAAUAACUAAAUUGUCUAUGUAUUAAAAGACAAAAAUAUCUUUUUUUGAGGUACUUGGUAACCGGCACCUUUUCCAAAGUGACCUGCUAUUGCAGGUCACAAUUUUAAAAAAACUAAAUCUGAGCUGUUGAAUACGCGUGAAUGAACGGUAACCAAAAAAAAAAAGAAGUAUGGAAGCAUUACUCGGAGAUGUAUAUAUUUUAAGUUAUGCGGUGGAAGUUUAUGCCAACCCUUAAUACUUUUUUAUUUUUAAUUUUUGGUAUGGAUCAUAGAGUUCCAGUUAGGCUAGAGUAGUUUGAAAACAUGGUCCAUGAAUUAGGAAACAGGGUGGCUACCAACAAACUAGCUUCCUCUUCCACCAAUUUGCUAGGUUGUCAGUGGAGCCAACAACUCACAAAUUCAUUCCAAAUCUAAAUGUUGUUCAAAUUUAGGGGUUCUUUUUUUCUUUAGCUUCCUAUAAGCAAUUUUUUCAUAAAUGGUCCCAGCAAAUUUAAAUUUACACAUAUUACUGGCUUCUUACAAUGAGAAGUCAUACUGGACUUGGGAAGACCAUGCAGAUAUUUUUAAGUUAAAUAUAAUAAUUCAGCCAUUAUGUUUAAACACGAUGAUCGGAACACUGUAUUUCUAUUUGUACUCUUCACUGUGGUUCAUUAUUAAUUCUUAUUGCCUCCUAAGUCGAAAAAUAUGAUGAUGUUGGCUAUCUUUUUAAGAUACCCAAUAAUCCAAUUGAAAUGAAAAAAAAAUAUAUAAUGAUAUAGGCUAAAUAUGCUAAAGUAAUAUAUACUCGGUAAUCUUAAAUUCAAUUGAGAAUGAGAUUCAUUCCAAAAACUAAUCUUAUUCUCUUGGGAUAGAGUAGGUAUCUCAUAUUAAUUAUCUUGGAUAAUCUUAAACUUUUUAACCCAAUCUUUUAUUUUUCUCCUUGCUUCAUUUGAGAUCCUCUCAAGAUCUUCUCUCUCCGCCGUGCGAGACCAUCUUCCUAUCUCUUCCCUCGACCUAGGGCGCAAAUAUCAUUCUUCUCUCCACCUAGGGCACACAUAUCAAUCUAUCUUCAUGAUAAUCUUAAAUAAUAUGACUAAGCGAUUCAACUCUGGCACGCCAUAUCUCCCAUAAUAGAAUGAGCAGGAAUCAAAAAACUAUUGGACAUUCUUUUAAUUCUUGAAAUCUGUCGUAGGACAAAUCAAACGCACCCUUAUUUCUAGUAAUUUUUAUAAUGCUAAAAAAAUUUUUAUAGCAAAAAUAGUUGCUUUCAGAUUUAUUUUUUUUAUUGCCAAAUAAAUAUUUUAGAUAUAAGAAUUGCAAGUAAUCUAGCGGUAGAAAUUCUAUUUAGAGAAAUAAGAAAAAAAAAAAGCAACAACGAGAAAUGAGAUCUUAUUUUAUAAUUUUCAGGGGAAUUUUUUUGGAUUUUUAUUUCGAUUUUCUUUUGUUGGAUAGAAUUUGGGCAUGUUUAAUGCUGUCAGGCUAAAUGAUUGAAAGAAAGCAUGCAGAAAUAUAAUUCUUUAUUUUUAGUAUUAAAAAACUUAUGUCUUGAUCGUAUCACUGCGAUAUGUAUAAUAUAAUACUUUAUAUAGAAAUAAAUAAAGUAUAUUUUUUUUAAUGUUUUUAUAGAUAACGUGAGUCUUCGCAAGACUUGUCUGUCGCUUAGGAGUAUGUUUGUUUUCGUAUAUCUCGAAGAGUGAACUCGUGAAUGCGAGAAAGUCGUUGACAUCAGCAUUUGUUUCAUCACUGAAAUCGGAAGAUCAUCAGAACUCCUCGUAAUUGUAGAGAAUUUGAUUUUUUCAACUUAUAUGAGAUGAAGAGUCAAAUUAAGUUCGCCAAAUUUACAAGGCUAAGUUUGGUAAUGCAGUGGAAGGUCCAAAAUAAUCUAAAAAUACUACGGUGUGCUUCUCUAGUGAUGAUUGUAACUGUACUUUUAUAAUAUAAAAUAAAAAAUUAAAAUAUAUUUAAUUACUAAUUAAGUUUUAAUUAUUCAUUCUAUGACUUAUCGCUUUCAAAAAGCCGUUUACACGGUGGGAGCUCUGCAGUCUAAGCUUCUUCUGACACGGCAGACUUCCUCCUCUUUUUGAGGACUGCAGGGCGAACUUGGGCAGUCUGCCCUCUCUCGAAAGUCAUCAGUACAAAUGGACUUCCUUAUCCGCCCGGUCAAAGUACAGCUCUAACUUACAAAAACCACCUCUAAUUCAUAACUUUAAUUUCGAAAAUGCCAAAUUAAUAAAUGUGGCGUGCUCCUAGGCGCGCGAAAUGAUAAUAGGAAAAUACUUUUUUAUACUCUCAAAUGAUAGCGUGUGAAUCUUACAUCCUCAACUCAGAGUUGAAAAAAAUUUAAAUAAAUUUUAAUAAAAAUAAAAAAAAUUAAUAUGACAAGUAAAUUAUUAAUGAUUUUAGAAUGCAGUGGGUGUAAGAUGUACAAUCCCACUUUGAGGUGUACUGAUAGUACCGCUCAUGAUAAGAUAUAGGGUUAAUUUCAUACAGAUCCCUACAAACAUAAUGAAUUACAAAUAUAUUACUAUAAAAUUUAAUUUUCAUAUGUUGACUCUACAGAAGUCCUAAUAUUUUUAAAUAUAUCCUUUUGAUUUGUUACCGUUAAAGCACUAUUUAUUUUAUAGGUGAAAUAUGUCCCUCCAAAAGUUUCAAUUGUUAAUUAAAAAGGGAUAAAAUAAUCAAUUCACCUCAUUAACUAACAAAAGUUAAACUUUAUAGGAUUAUAUAUUUGCAAUUCAUUAUAUUUGUAGGGGCUGUAUGAAAUUAAUCCUAAUAUAUAUCGCUAAAUUAUAAAAAAAAACUUCUUAUAAGUAUCUUUUUUUUUAAAAUUUUUCUUCUAAUUUUCAAAAAUUUAUAUUUUAUUCUUCAAUAUUUUAAGUUGUUGCAUUUAGCCAUCCUCCGUCAAGAUUUUAUCACUACUCCGUCAUUUUCUUAUAAUUUAUACCAUUAUUUUUUUCUUAUAAAAGAAAUAAGAAUAAUUUGGUCACUUUGUCCUCUCCAUUCACACCAUACCCUUCUAAAAAUAUUUUUGAAAUUUUAGAAAGGCAAAAUGUAAAUGUUUAAAAGUCAGAAAAAAAAAGUAAAAAAACGAAUAUUUACAGUAGAGUUAUUUGUAAUUUAGCAUAUAUAUAUAGAGUGUACAACUACUAUACUUGCGGAAGUAUUAGUAAAAUUGGUGCAUUUGAUUUUUUGGUUCUUAAAUUAAGAAUUGUAAGGUUAGGAUAAUAGUGAUCCUACUAGGAUUUAGUAGUCUGCUUAGAAAAUUAAUAUUAAUCUAAGAAUCAGAAAUGAUGAAAUGGUUAAUCCAAAGGUUAAAAUAGUCCAGAGUUUGACUACAGUGUUUUUGAAAGCACAACUCAUGUGAUACUUCUAAUUUUUGAACCCUUAAAUCAACCUUUGAUUAUUCUCUAGUCUUUGGAUUAAUACUAUUCCCCUACUAGAGAGGACAACUAAACCUUUAUAGGGGGACUUCUAUCAUUCUAACAUUAUAAUCCUUAAUUCAAAGGCUAAAAAUCCGGAGCACUAACUUUUUAUUUUUUCGAAAUUACAAUAACUCUAAACUAUAUAUAUAUAUAUAUAUAUAUAUAUAUAUAUAUAUAUAUAUAUAUAUGAGUCUGGCUACUAUACUCUUAUGAGUAUAGAGCUUCUUGUACUCACAAGUUUUUGGCCGUUUGAUCUACUCUUUAAUCAUUUUCAUUCGUUAAAUUAUACUACUCAACCAACCACCCAAUCAAUUCUAGGGGGCCCACUAUCAACCUAACCGUAACCACUCUCAUCUUAAUCACACAUUUUUUUAUCCGAAUGGUCGAAAAGUUAUGAGUAUAGAGGGCUCUAUACCAAUAUGAGUAUAGUAGCCCCAACCUAUAUAUAUAUAUAUAUAUAUAGAGAGAGAGAGAGAGAGAGAGAGAGAGGGAGAGUUGAAUAAUUUAUAGUCAAGAGUCCCCUAUGAGGUAAAUUGCAUUGUUACUGCCUGAACUUUUGACGAAUUUUACUUAAACCCCCAGACUCCUAAAAUAGACAUCUAACACGCUAAACUCUAAUAUUUCAUUCAUUUUACCCCUUCCGUCAGUUUCCGGUUAACGGAGUUUGACGGAAAAUUGACGGAAAGGAUAAAUGAACGAAAUAUUAGAGUUUAGGAUGUUAGAUGUCCAUUUUAGGAGUUCGAGGGGUAAAAUGAAACUUCGCCAAAAGUUCAUGAGGUAACAAUGCAAUUUACCCAUUAUAUAUAUAUAUAUAUAUAGAUAUAUAUAUAUAUAUAUAUAUAUAUAUAUAUAUAUAUAUAUAUAUAUAUAUAUAUAUAGAGAGAGAGAGAGAGAGAGAGAGAGAGAGAGAGAGAGAGAGAGAGGCUGGAAUACUAUUGAUAGUAAAAUAUCCUUUUUGCUAUUAAAUUUUUAACCAUUGGAUGAGAAAUUGUAGGGUUAGAAUGAUAUUAGUCCUUUAGGGUUGAGUAGUCCCCACUGGAUUAUAAUAUUUAAUCGAAUGGUUAGAAAUGAUGAAAGAAUUUGAUCCAAAGACUAAAAACUUAAUAGUAAAAAUUUUUGCUAUUAAUAGUAUUUUAGUCCACCACUAUAUAUAUAUAUAUAUGUCACGCCCCGGAUUACACUUUCCCUGGGCGCGCCGACAAAUCCGCCGUAUGCAAAAGAAUUUUUCCUGUAUACGAAGCGAUAGCUGUACCUGUAAACAAACACUACUACGAACAGUAGUAGAGAGCUGCUAGAGAAAACAGAAGCUAAACAAACUGAGUUUCAUAUACAUAGUCCCAAUUAAAAAUACAAAGCUACUCGCACUAGCGAGUUAAGUCCACUAUGUACAUAAACUCGAAACAAAACAUCUACCUGCAGUAGGGGCACCUCUAGCUCAGCACGUCGGGUAGGGCUCUAACUCGCGACGCCCUUGCCUCGAUCCUGAUCCGCGGACAGUGCAGCAGCCGGAACCUGUGGCUCUGCAAAAACAUAGGAACAACUGGGCGUGAGAACUACUGUAAAAACAAGUAGUCCUCAGUGGGUAUCGCCCAAAACAACAUCGGUCCACCCACUAAGUCUACAGAAGAGAGCAAGAAUAGUAGUAAAAUGCAGGAAUAAAGUCUACCGCUAUCAAACACUACACUAUCAUGCUCUACACUAACCAACUGUAGAAAAUAUCCAACCUGACCCAAUCCAAUCGGGACUGUAAGCAUACCCGUCCCCGGGACUGUGAAUACACUCGUCCCUGCCCCGUUGCGACUAUCCAGCUCUAUCCACACCAACUGGUCCGUGGAGAGCGAGUCCAACUGGCAUGAGCGACACCAACGCGAAAGCACAAAGCCUGACUCCGGAGUGGUACUCGUGGGCGCUACCCAACCGAGUAUGCAGCGUAUCUCUGUCGAGCUCAAUCAGGCUCCAACUAGCCAAAGUCAAGUAAACAGGGUCAAAACAGGUCUACAAACCAAACCCACGUGCCCUCGGCACAAUCUGUGACCAAAACAAGAAUCUGGGUCCACCGCUAACCCGAACGGCACCCAACGACCCGAAACAGCCUACACUCUGCUGAAAAAUAAGCUCGGCAUCUCAGCACGAGCGUAAAUGCCUUCUAAACUACCCCAGGUAUCCAUCGCAACGAUACUGCAACGAUACAAUCGAAUCACGGCUCCUAGAGCUAAAUCUGGUAGUUUAAGCAUAUGACGGGUCAAAACGCAGGUUUUCUCCUAAGUCAAAUUUCAAGUCCAACAUGUAUAAUAUAAAUAUUCAUUUCAGCAUGCUUCUACAUUCAUAUUACAUUCAAGAUGCUAAUCGAUGAAUUAAAGCAUGAUAUACAAAAAUCGAACUAUACACGUCGACUAAACAUGCACUUAGGAGCGAAACCGAUGAUACACCCACCUCUAGUGCAAUUCCUGGCAGCAAGAUGGUCUCGGAUCACAAGCAACACUGCUGGAAACACCUCCAAACCAGCAACAAAGCCCCUCAAGAUCUGGAUUUACAAUUCACCCAAAAAUCCAAUAAAAACCAUCAAUUUACCAAAAUUUCAGCACUUAAGCUUAAUUAUCUCAAUUCCAAUGUCAAAACUCACCUAAUGAUCUCCAAAUCGGGUGAGGACAGAUCCAAAUCCAGCAACUACUGAUGGGUGAUCAAUCUCAGGUCCAAAAUCCCACUGCCUACAAAGUUAGCAUCAAGAAAAGCUCAAAAAUUCCAAUUUCAGCUCAAAGUCAACAGCAGUCCAGAAAAACCUCAGUUCGACCAAGCUAACCUCAACCAAAAUCUGCAAUUCAGGGCUUCGUGGAUUCCUCUGGAAGUCUAGAAUCCAGCAAACCAAGUUUCGUCGAAAUCCGACCUUCCUACGUCGCGCACGAGCCAAAACACUGGAGGUCGUCGCUGAAGAACUGCAGAAUCAGCACUCCAUCAAGCUGGAUCAAUGGAAAUUUGAUGCAAAUUGAGGCAAAUCCGAGGGUAGAGAUGCUAAAAGGGACUUCUCUGUGAAGAAGGGAGGAAAAGAGCUCACCAGGGUCACCUUCCAUCUAUUUAUAGGCUGCUGGAGAGAUAAGAUAAGCCCCAAGAGAAAACAGCUGCUAUCCAGUACUCAUGCAGAAACGGGCAUUUCUGGGCGCCCGGAACCAUGUUGUGGGCGACCAGAACAUCCCGACUGCACAAACCGGGCUCCUCGGACUCUCCGCUCGCGGUGUGCUGCGCCCGUAAAUGGCUCCGGCGGAACUCACCUACCGCCCUGCCACGCGUCGAAGCAAGCGAUAUUCACGAGGUGGAAUUUCCGGACCCACAUCUGGGCGCCCAAAACAUGGGAUCCGAAUUGGCUUCCAGUUUCAGUUAAAUUCAACACUCGUUUCUGGGCGACCCUAAAAAUGUUCUGGGCGCCCAAAUCUGGCAAAACUCCAGUUUUGCUUAUUUGAGUGCGCCGAGUCCAAUUCUGCAUCCAAUUCGUGCAGAAUUGACUCCGACUCAGUCCGACACUCUCCAGAGAUGUCGACCAGUCUAUAAUACUGAAGCCAAUCCUAUCCAAAGUUCAGGAACACUACAAUAUAUAUAUAUAUAUAUAUAUAUAUAUAUAUAUAUAUAUAUAUAUAUAUAUAUAUGAAUGAGAUCAUUCCCGUUUUGUCUAACAAAUUCAGAUUGAGGGGGUAGUUACAUAUAAUUGGGGCAGUUAUUUUAGCAAUACUAAUAAAUCUAUCAUUUUUAAUUGGUUUCCCUCCUACUAAAGAUAUAUGUAGUCUGACACUUCCACCUCAACCGCCACUUCGCCAUUAUAAAAGGAAACCUACGUCACCACCCGCUCCCCACAUUUAAAAAAUAAUACUUGUUGCAUAAACCCGGUGUAUCCGUACAUGUCAUACACUAUAUUUAAUAUUUAAUUGUUAAAAUUUAACAAAUAAAUUUUAAUCUAAAAUGGUUUAAAAGCCUAUGUAUCAAAAUAUAACUAGCGUAUUCCAGAGGUUCCAGAGGUUCACAGCCCCACUUGGUGCUGGCACCAAAUUCUCCCUAUCAAUUCCGCCGUUCCCAUUGAAACCUCGUGCACAUUUAUUUACUUUUAUUAUACCCAAACACACUCGUACACACUAAUAAUUAUUUCCGAGAUAGUAGUAUACCCUUAUAAGUUCGGCCGUGAUGUUUGUAAAAGCACCAAAUACUUAAUACUUGUAAAUUUUUUAUUAUUAAAUUUAUUUUUUUGAUCAUUUUUAUUUAUUAAAUUAUACUAUUCAACCAACACCCGCUCAAUCCUAGAGGUCUCGUAUUAUUCUAACCGCAUAUUUUUUAAUCUAAUGGCCAAAAAUUUACCCGCUCCUUGUUCCAUGCCCCUUAUAAAUCAAACUAUAAAUCCUCCUCCUCCAACUGCUUGUUCCGCCGAAUAAGCUCAAAACCCUAAUUCCGAUCGAAAAAAUUUGGGGAAUAAAAAGGAGAAAAAAUUAGAGGAGGAGAUCGAUGGACGAUGAUACCUCGUUCGCCGUCGUCGUCGCCCUCUCCGCCGCGCUCGUAAUCGCCCUCCUCAUCGUGGCCCUCCUCGCCGCCGCCGCCGCCGCCGCCGUCCUCCGCCGCCGCCGCGUCUGGCGGCGCGGCGGCGCGGCGGUCGGUGAGGGCGGUGGUGGCGGCGGCGGAGGAGGAGGGAGAGGAGGAGGAGGAGGUUCGCGCUCGAGCUGGAGCUGCUGCGGCGCCUCCGCCACCCCAACAUCGUGCGCCUCCUCGCCUACUGCGACGAUCGCGGUGAGCAAAUCUAAUCUAAUUAAUAAUAAUUAUUAUAAAUUAAAUUUAAUUUAUUAAUUAAUAUCAUCCAAAAAAAAUUCAAAAAACCAUCCCGUAGUUUCUCACUUUUUUAUUUUAGUACCCUAUGGUUUAAAGUAUAUUAUUUUCGCAUUCCUGUAAUUUUUUUUUUUUUAUCCAUUUCAUUAUUUUUUUUUCCGUUAUAUCAGUGGCAAAGAUAAAACUAGAACUCGCCUACUGCGACGAUCGCGGUGAGCAAAUCUAAUUAAUAAUAAUAAUUAAAAAUAAUUUUAAUUAAUUAAUUAAUAUUAUUUUUUUGAAAAAAAAAAAAACUUUAAAUACCACCCCGUUGUUUCGGAUUUUCUCCCUUCAAUACUCUAUGAUUUGAAGUGUGUCACUUUUAUACUCCAUGGUAAAAAACGUAUCACUUUCGUAUCCCGUGAUUUUAUUUUUUUUCUUUUUGUUAUUCCUUUUAUUAUUUUUCUGUUUAAUCAGUGACAAUUAAAAUUAAAAAGUACGAAAGUGAAUAUUUGAUAAACUAUAAGUGAGUAUCUGAAAUAUUUUUUUUGUAUAUAAUUUAACGAAAAAUUAACAAAUAAUGAAAAAAAAAACUCUAAAAUAUUAAAUUAAUAUAUUUUAAAUCACAUGAUAUUAAAGUAAAAAAGUAAAAAAAUAAAAAAAUCAUUGAAGUUCACCCUUAAAAAAAAUAGAAGCAAAUUUGACUUGGUCGUUUCGCUCAUUGAUUCUCGUCACCUCCUCUUACCGGGGGACGUUCGGUUCAACGUUAAUCUCUGAAAAUAAUUUUCCGUGAAAAUAAGUUUUCAAUGAAAAAAUUUUCGUUCUGUAGUUUGAAUUGUUUGCUUUGUAGAAAAAAAUAUUUUUUCAUCAAUUUUUAUUUGGUUGAAAAAAAUUCACAUUUAUUUUGUUCGGAGAAAAAAAAUGAAUGAAAAAAAUUUUAUGUAGCUUAAAUUUUUGUUUUUCGUUGAAAACAACGAAAAACGGAAACUUCAAUAUUUUAUAUUUUUAUAAAAAUAUUUUUACGUCAAAUCAAAUAAAUAAAAAAAUAUUUUACAUAUCAAAAAUAAUUUUUUAAUUCAUUUUAUGAGGUUUUUUUAAUUAUUUUCUAAAAAAAAAGAAUUUUAAAACUAACUAAAUUAAGUAGGGUUUUUUUUUGUGUCCUUUUUGACUGAAAAUUUUGAAUUUCUAUAUAUUGUCGUUAAAAUUUAAAUUUGUAAACUUAGGCUUGUCAAAAAAAAAUUUUACUACCAUAAACAGCAGUCCUGAGCAAAAAAUGCUAUCACUGAUAUACGGUUCUGAUUAAAUGUCUAAAUAUUUUCAUAAUUUUUUUGAAAAAUUUAUAUAUUUGAUAGAUAAACAAUAUAAUGAAAUAUUUAAAAUUAGAUACUAUAUUCGGUUUAGAAAUUAUUUUUUGGAUAAGAUAAAUCACUUUUUUUUGUAAAAUAUGUUAUUUUACCGAAUCAUAAUUAUAAAAAAAUUUUAAGAGGAAAAAAUCAAAGUUUUAAUCACGCUAAAAAUUUUUAUACGGAAUAAAUUUUUUUGAAUUAUUUAUUUUGAUUUUCAAACAUCACCUUUAAGAGUUUAAAAUCAUCUUUUAGAUUUUUUUUUUUUUUUUUUUGGUACCAACAAAACUUUUUAAAACUAGUGAGUAAAUAUGAGAAAUUGGAUGAUUACAGUGUAAAAUUCAUAUACUAUAUAUAUAUAGUUGGUCAUGUCUUAGUUGGAGUGUGAUAUUUAUUCCACUAGUAUUAAUAACUUACAAUAACACUAAUAAUUUAUUGAGUUCUACAUUAUUAAAGCUAAAAUGUAUAAGUACCUUGUUAUUAGUGUUAGAGCUUCGAAUUUUUAUAUUUUUUAUCCAUGUAAUGUGAGACUAUUGAAUCGUCGUAAUUACUUUCUAAUAUAAAAAAAUUAUUUCAGAUUAUCUAUGUUUUUUAAAAUUACUCUGAUUUUUCGCCAUGGGAUCAUUGUACCAUGUUAAUUAUUAUAACAAUUCAAUUCAAAAAAUAUAAAGUCACACAGUAUAUUUAAAUUUUACUAUAACUAUAAUUACAGUACAGUAAUAACCAUGUGCAUGCUCCGAUUUUCGGCACACUAAACGUGAGAUACUUCCGUCCACCGUCCAUCACGUAAGUAAAUCGAGGUUUGAAAAUAAUGGACGGUAGAUAAGACCGUCUCGUGUUCAAAAUGAGACAGUUUCUUCGACUGUUCAUCACGUAAAUCGGCACGAAUUUCAAAGUUCAUGGACGACAGAUAAGACGGUCUUACAUUUGGGACAACACUAUUGGCUAUUUAUUAUUGAGCUAAAUUAGGUCAAAUAUCGUACCCCAACAAUAAGCCUAAGUUGAGUUAGAUGAGACUAAUAAAUUAAGUGGAGGUGCGGUCUACAAGUCAGGUCGAAGACUGCGAGCGCUUUCUAUCAAUACGUGAUUUUGGAAUAGUUGAUUAACGCUUACCAUCCACAAACCCUUAUCUUGCAGAGUUUGGGUCAAAUAGAUCAUCGGCACGAAUUUCAACGGCAUAUAAGACGGUCUUACAUUUGGGUGGUCAACACUAUUGGCUAUUUAUUAUUGGGCUCAAAUAGAUCAAAUAUUCUGUUCCAUAACAAUAAGCUCAGGAAACUAAUAACUUGAGUCGGAUGAGCCUAAAAAAUUCAGAAGGUGCAGUUCACAAAAAAUCUAACGGUAAAAUCUUUAACAAUAAACCUAAUGUUCAGAUUGGUUGAGUCAGGUCGAAGAAGCUCGUGAGCACUGUGGUACGAUAAGUGUUUAACAAUAAGCCUAAUGUUCAGAUUGGAUUGGUUGAGUCAGGUCGAAGAAGUCUGUGAGCACUGUGGUACGAUGAGUGCGCUCUUUCUAUGGGUGCUUGGAAUAGUUGGUUAGCGCUUACGAUGAACAAACUCUUGCCUUGGUUGCAGAGGAGGAGGGGGCUCUGGUGUUGGAGUACGCCCCGAACGGCACCCUCCCCCCGCGGCUUCAGCGGCGCCGCUCCCGUGGGCGGCGCGGACGCGGAUCCUCUACGACGUCGCGGGCGCCCUCGCCCACCUCCACUCCGCAUCCGCAUCCGCAUCCGGCGCCGUCGUCGUCGUCCACGGCGACGUGACCUCCUCGAACGUCCUCCUCGGCCCCCUCCCCCGCCUCCGCCCCCUCCUCUGCGACUUCGGCUCCGCCCGCCUCGGCUUCUCCGCCUCCCUCUCCCCCUCCCCCUCCCUCUCCGUCGCCGUCGCCUCCCCCGGCUACGCCGACCCCUUCUUCCUCCGCACCGGCAUCCUCUCCAAGAGCUCCGACGUCUACGCCUUCGGCGUCCUCCUCCUCGAGACCCUCACCGGCCGCCCCGCCGUCGGAUCCGACGGCCGCAACCUCACGGCCGAGAUCGCGCCGGCGAUCGCCGCGCCGCCCGCCGAGGGCCUGCUCGAUCCGCGGCUGCGCGGGCGCCCGGGGUUCGACGCCGCCGCCGCCGAGGCCGAGGCGGCGGCGGCGGCGGAGAUCGCCGGCGCGCGCUGCGUCGGGGCGCAGCCGAGCCUGCGCCCGUCCAUGGCCGAUGUGCGCGCGCUCAUCGGGGAGCGGAUGCCGUCCGCGAUCUCCGCCGCCGAUCCCGGAUCGGACGGCGAGAAGAAGAUGGCGGAGCCGUGAGCAGGAGGAGGAUGCCGAUGAUCGGUGGACUCGGCGCACCGCGUAGGCCGUGGACCGCAUGUUUGGUGGCGCAAAAAAGAAAUUGUCUUCGGCUGGUGCAUGGCUAACGUGGCGGACCCGGUGCAGCGUAAAACUGGGAGUGCUUGGUUGUUAUUAACCAUUACUAUAUUGACACCUCUAAUUACCAUUAUGUGCAUAGGUAUACGGAGUAGAGUUACUAUAUUAUCAAAAGUUUCUGACUUUUUGGCUCUUAGAUUAAUUUUUUUUGAUCAUUUUUAGCUGUUGAAUUAAUAUUAUAAUCCUGUGGGGACCACUCAAUUCUAGGGGUACUACUUAAUCAUAGAAAUGACCGUAAUCAUUCCAAACGUAAAAUUUUUUAUCCAAAAGUCAAAAAGUCAGAAGUAUCAAAUCCUCUAUACUUCUAAUAAUAUAGUAGCUCUACACUAUAUAUAUAUAUAUAUAUAUAUAUAUAUAUAUAUAUAUUUAGGCUGAAAUACUAUUAAUAGUAAAAUGAUCUUUUUGCUAUCAAAUUUUUAACCCUUGGACGAAAAAUUGUAAGGUCAGAAUGAUAUUAGUCGGUUAGAGUUGAGUGAUCCCCCUAGGGUUGAGUGGUCCCCAUUGGGUUAUAGUAUUUAAUCCAAUGGUUAGAAUAAUGAAAAAGUUGAUCCAAAGGCUAAAAAACUGGUAGCAACAAUGAGAUUUUGCUAUUAAUAGUAGUCCAGUCUAACUCAUAUUCAUAUAUAUAUAUAUAUAUAUAUAUAUAUAUAUAUAUAUAUAUAUAUAUAUUAAAAUUCUGUGAAUAUAUAUAUAUAUUUUUUUUUGGAAUUGAUAUUGUGAGAACUAGUUUUGAUAUUGUCAAAGUAUAUCGGAAUAGAUAUACAGUAAACAGUAUCAAAAAUAGCUUUAUGCAAUAUCAAUUUCUUUUUUUUUUCUCAUUUUCUUCUUUUUUUUUUUAUAUAUAUAUAAUAAAAUAACUAUUGACUUAGCUCGAGUCGACAUCUAUGAGGUCGGUGCUCAAUCUACAUCUGUACUAUUACAAAAUAGGACUUGUCUACUUAUAGCUUCUUGAGUUGAGAACAAAAAAAAGUUAGUGUACAUAACAUCUGAAUAUCUGAGAAUUUCAGAAUAGGAGUCUAAAUAUAUUUCCAUGAGAAUGCUGGUCUUGUGGGUUUGCCAAUGUAUGAACAUUUGUAAUACAAACUGUUUUUAAUUGAUUUUAAGUUCAAUAAUUCUGUUCUCUAUUUUGAGAAUCUUGUUACUGGAUAAUGAAUAUAUAUAUAUAUAUAUAUUUAUAUAGUCCGCCUACUAUGCUAUCAAUAAUAUCAAGUACUUGGUGCUACUAAAUUUUUCGCUGUUAGAUCUACCAUUUUGAUCAUUUUCACUCUUUACAUUAUACUAUUCCAUCAACCACUCACUCAAUCCUAAGGGACCACUAUCAUUCUAACCAAAUAUUCUUUCAUCCAAGAACAAAAAUCUAAUAAUAUCAAUGACUUUGUGCUAUUAAUAGUAUUCUAUUAUAAUUAUAGAGAGAGAGAGAGAGAGAAAGAGAGAGAGAGUUGAGCUCAUGUAUUUUUUGAAAUAUAGGAGCUGAACAUGUUUGUAAUUUUUUAACCGUCAAGUCGCUUCAAGAUCUAUGUAGUGCUAAUAUAAAAAACUUAAUAAGACACAUACUUAAUAGUACUGUACUAAUCUUGAGACGAUUCGACUGUUAAAAAGUCACAAGUAUAAAUACUCGUUUUUUAAAAUGCAGAAGAUCAAUUCUCUCUCUCUCUUUAUGUAGUUUUAAAAAAUAGUAAAACAUUAAAAGUAUUGUAAAUUACUUUUAACGAUAUAAAUUAUUAGUCUGAGUGCUCGGUCGUCAAAAAUAAUUGAUAGCAUAAGUGUUUUGUUGUCGAAAAUAAUUGAUAGCACGAAAGCUUGCGUACUUCUGAUAAGACAGAGACUUGAUUUGACGGUUCAACUUUUGGAUACCUAAUGAUUGAUUAGAUAUGCUAAAAGUGGUCCUAAAGCGUAAGUUAAUUUAAUGUUCUCAUGACUCAUCAGUCAUGUCCUUAGCUUCUUGAUGAGUGUAGUCACUUGAAGUUUGGAGUGAUCCUAAUUAAAAGAUUUGUACAUUAUUAAAUCCUGUUUGGUUGGAAGAGAAUAAAUAUUAGCAUAAUAAUUUUAUUUUUAUUUAUUAUUUUGAAAUAGUUAGAAAUAAAAAUAAAAUUAUGUUUGGUUUAUAAUACUGCUAUUCUCAGGAAUAAUUUAAAUUGAAUUUGGUUAAAUUUAUGAAAUAGUAGAGAAUGGUGAAAAAUAAUGGUGGUUGAAUUUGAUAUAAAAUAUAAUUUAAUAAAAGUAAUUUAUUAUAAAAUAUGAUUAAGUAAAUUUUUUUUUUUUUCAAAUUCUACUACAAUAUAAAUAUAAUAAAAAUAAUUUAUUAUCAUAUUUAAGUAUAGUUUAUUUUAUUUGCAAUAUUUAAGUACAAAUAAUAUGUAUUUAUAUAGUACAAUUAAUAAUUUUAUAAUAAUAAUAAUAAUAAUAAUAAUAAUAAUUUAUCAUAAUAUAUAAUAUAUUGUGUCUACAUAAUUUAAUUUAAUUUAAUUCAAUUUAUAAUAUUAAUAAAGUUUUGAAUUAAAAUUUAGAAUAGUACUAUUUUACCAAAAAGAUGGAAUAGUUUAUUCCAAACUAUUCCGAAAUAACUAGAAAAUAGCUAUGUUUGACCGGGAUAUUUUAUUCCGGCCAAAAAUUGUUCUCUUUGGCGGAAUAGUAGUAAUAACUUUCGUCGAGGGAUUAAUACCAUUAUCCAAUCUCUUGAUUAACAGUUACAUAUAAAUUUAUGGAAAAACUUCAAACACCACCCAUGUGGUUUCACACUUUCUCACUUUAGUACCCUGCAUUUUAAAGUGUAUCAUUUUCGUACCCUGUGGUUUUAUCUUUCUUUUUUUGUUAUCAAUUUCACUAAUUUUUUAUUAAUUUUUUUCAUUAAAUCAGUGACAAAGUUAAAACUAAAAUGUAUUAAAUUGAAUAUUUGAUAAACCAUAGGUAGGGUAUCUGAAGUUUUUUGUAUAUGAUUUAACGAAAAGUUAAUGGAGGGGCUGAGGGUACUAAAUUGAUACACUUUAAAUCAUAGGAUACUGAAGUGAGAAAGUACAAAACCACAAGGAUGGGGCUUUUUUUGCAAAUAGCCCCCUGACAAAUUUUAUUUAUAAAAAUAGCCCCGUCCAAAAAUUAUUUGCAAAAAUGGCCCUGCCCCUGCCACGCCAGCGCCACGUCACCGCCACGCGGGCAGGACGGGCCCAGGUGUUUAAGUUGAACACGGUGAACCAUUCACCGUGUUCAAUACAAAAUUUUUGUAUUGGACACGGUGAAUGAUUCACCGUGUCCAAUACAAAUAUCCCAAUAAUGAGUAAGUUGGAGGUAUUUGUAUUAGACACGGUGAAUCAUUCACCGUGUCCAAUACAAAUUAUUGGACACGGUGAAUGAUUCACCGUGUCCAAUACAAAUAUUUCGAUCUUAGCUAUUUUGUAUUAGAUACGGUAAAUCAUUCACCGUGUCCAAUACAAAAACUUUGUAUUGAACACGGUGAAUGGUUCACCGUGUCCAAUACAAAAACUUUGUAUUGAACACGGUGAAUGGUUCACCGUGUUCAACUUAACCAUCUAGUCCAGCCCCGCCCGCGUGGCGCUGACGUGGCGCUUGCGUGGCGGGGCCAGGACUAUUUUUGCAAAUAAAUUUUUGACAUGACCAAUUUUAAAAAAAAAAUUUGUAAGGGGGCUAUUUGCAAAAAAAGCCCACAAGGAUGGUAUUCGAACUUUAUCCUAAAUUUAUUUGAGACUGUUUGGCAAGGCUUCUCGGACGAUUUCGCUACAGAAUAGUAGUUUGCAAUUUGAAUACCGGCGAAAUACUUUCCAACUUUUUUCGAUACCUAAAAUUUAUAACGAAGAACGGAAAAUAAGCUUCUAAAACUGAGGGAGGUUUACACAGCUAAAGCUCUUUCGAUUCCUCAAACAACUUCACUAAAUAGCAUAUUUUCAUCAAUCUGUCCAAACAAAUCAUACGCAUUCGCGAGUUUGAUCGGUUCAGAUUAUAGCCUCUAUCGCGGAAUUCAACUCAGAUGUUGUUUUGACAUCAUUGGCCUGUUUGUUUUACCGACGGUGAAGUGCAGGUUGAAAUGAAAUAGACUUUCGAUAAACUAGAGUUUUUAGGUAAAAAUUAUUUUUCUUUCCCUGUUUGUUUGUAUAGUUGCAAAAUUAAAGUUCUUCAAAUUUACUAUUUGUUUAGCAGAGAGUAAAAAAUGUAAAAGUUGAAAGUACGAAAUCAGUAAAUGAGCAAAAUAUGCUGUUGUUACUAGAAGUACUUCAUACAAAUGUGUACAUCUCUAUGUUGAAAAUGAUAAGUUUUUUGUGCUGAAUAAAAAAAGAACUAGGAGCUUACACAAUUAUAAAAGAUAUAUCCUCAUCUUAACCUAUCGACUUAAUCUUUUGGGUAUUUUGUAUCUUUUAUCACUCUAGGCAUUAUAUUAUAAUCGCUCAAGAAUUGUUCAAGCCUCAACCUAUUUUAGAUUGAAAUUUUUGUAACAACCUAUUUAAGAUUGAAAUUUUUGUAACUACCUGACCCACUAACAAUGAUAAAUCGUUGGGCCUAAACUAUCAGCUGAAAAUAAUUAAGCCCAGCUAUUAAUACUAGUAUGCCUGUCACUUAUAAACUCAUUACACUCUCCCACAUUAUCCGAGGUGGGACUAUUGGGAUGUGUUUGUCACUUAUAAAUUCAUUACACUUUUCCACAUUAUCCGAGAUGGGAUUAUCCAUUACACUUUUCCACAUUAUCCGAGAUGGGAUUAUCGGAAUGUCACGUACUCCCCUCGUUUAGGCCCUGACAUUUUCGUCAGCCCGGCCCAAUCAUACAUAUAGUCCCAGAUUCACCAGGUGAUGUGAGAUCGAUCUCAUACUUUCGGUUGAUUAUCAGGCUCUGAUACUAAAUGUAACGAUUCGAACUGCUAGCAAUAAUAACUCGUUGGACCCAAACUAUCAGCCCAAAAUGCUUAAAACUUAAUUAUUAUAACUAGUGUGUCCGUCACUUAUAGAACCAUUACACUCUCCUAUAUUAUCCGAUGUAGGACUAUUAGGAUGCCACAAUUUUAAUUCAAAAUUUUUCUCACGGAAAAAGAAAAUUCUUUUACCAAACAGUGUCUUAGGGUUUGAAUCCCAACAUGUAGAAGAAUGAAGAUACCCUACUAUUAAGAAAAAUAAGGUUCCCUGCUGACCACUUAACUACAAUAGCAGAACAUUAGCAAAUGGGAAUUGAUAUUUUCAGUGCUAAUUUUGAUAUUGUCGGAGCAAAAAAAUUUAAAUCGUGACUAGAUAUAAUUUUGAUAUUGUUUUAGCCAGAAAAUCUAAAUCAUUAAUAGAUAUAAUGAAUGCGCUUUGGCAAUAUCAAAUUUAGUUAUGAAAAUAUCAAUUUCCUAAAUAGACCAUUAUUGUAGUGUCUGCUUUCAAUACUAGUCAUUCCCAAUAGAGUAUUUGACCAACAAACAAAAUAAAUAAAUAAAUAAAUAAAUAAUUUUCACAAUAGUGGAAAUCACAAAUGAGACUGAUAACACCAACAAUAAGCUUAUAGACCAUGGCCUUAGAAAUACUUUGCUAUUAAUAGCACUCUAGCCUAGUUCUCUAGAGAUUGAAACCACACAAAGAAUAUACCUUCAUUAGGGUUGUCAACGAGCUGAACAUGAGUGAGCUAGGGCCGGCCCAUGUUCGCUCAUUCAUUAAAUGAACCGAACACGAUUUGGCUCAUUAAAAAUAUCAAGUUGAAAAAUUUAGCUGGUGUUGUUCUGCUUGCUUAUUAACAAGCUGAACAUGAGCUAGCUCGUAAGCAAACAUGUUAGAUUGUCAACUCUGCUACUAGGUAAAAAAUUGAAAGAAAAAUAGAAAAUUUGAAUCUUAAUUUAAUAGUUGAAAUCCAUAAAAUAUAGAUCUCCUUACAUUUGAGUUGGCCUAAAAUCCAAACAGUAAAAUUUGUUAUUGUAUGUCGAGCCAACCCUAACUCAUGUUCGGCUCGUUAAGAUUUCAAGCUAAAAGAUUUAGUUCGUGCUCGGCUUAUUUAUAAACUAUCAAACAAUCUCGAGCUCAUUUUGAGCCGAACACAAGCCAACUAGCAAACAGCCAGCUAGAUUGUCGGCCCUAACUGUCACGCCCCAAACCCGAGACGUAACAGACGCCGCAUACUUGCUAAACUAGCAAAUAUACAAGACUACCGAAUCAGACGGAAACUAGCAAAAAGGAGAUUACCAAUUUUUCCACUAAAUCCAAAGAAUCACAAGGUGAGACUAAGAAAUUAAAUUUUAACUAAAAUCAAACGGAAUUCUAACAUCUAUAGAACUAAGCUUACUACGAAUCACAAGAGAGAUUCGGUCUACAAAAUACUAAAAGUAACAAAAGUGGGUACGAAGAAAUAACGAAACAAAAAUAGAUAACAACGAUCAUCUACGUAGUCCAAAAAUUCACAUCCGAAAAUACUAGAUGUAAAAACAAAAGGGAUUAAAAUCAAAACUAGCUACGUCUAACGUUAACACGGUCUCAGCCCCGCCCGUAAAAUCAGUCUCGGUACCUGGGUAAGCAACCAUACACCACAUUAGUCGGAUUAAGCAUAUAAUACAAAUAAAUAAUUGAAUACAAAAAAUUAAUUCAAGCGACUGGUUUUUUAAUUUGCAAAAUUUCAGAAAACAAGAAUUAUCAAAUUUAAAAUUCAGAUCAUAUUGAAACUAUAACUUUACAAAGCAUUUCUUUAAGUCUCCGGCAACUAACUAUAUUAUAUGAUCCAUUGGCGAGAUCCAGAGGCACCCGAAGGCACAAACAAAACAGAGGCACCCGAAGGCGCAAAUAGAACAGAGGCACCGAAGGUGCAUGUACAAAACAGAGGCACCCGUAGGCGCAAACAAAACAGACGCGCGAAUAGGCGCAGGCACCCGAAGGCGCAAUAUAAAGACGAAGCUCGCUUCUAUAACAAAAUACAUGUCGACAUGGCCAAUAUUAGUAUAGCAGAAUACCAAGAGACAUUAUAAUUUAAAAUUAUCCAGUCACUAACUUAUAGAACAGAUUAUUAAAUUUCAAAAUUUUCUGUUAAAAGAAUCUUUCAAUCAUAGUUGAAACUCAGUUUACAGAAAUAUUUAAUAUACGUUUAACCCUUAAUUUUAAAAUCUACAAAAUAAGGAUUUUUACACAAUCAAAGUAUUUCCUAAAUUAUUUUACGAAAAACUAACGGGUGUCCGGUUACUUACCUCAAAAGCAGCUUCUAAGCUAAGAAGCUAUCUAGUCGAAAAUUGCACGAAAUCAAUCAUCGGAACCUAAAAUAGAGAUAUACGAUUCUCUAUAAGCUAUUUAAAAUAAACUUACAAAGAGAACAUAUAUACAUUUAGAAAGCAAGCUUAUACAAAAAUUUGAAUUCGGAUAGACUCACAUAGGUCGACAAUGUCGGCUACGAAUGCAUGCAAAAAGGUCAAGACGAAGCACGAAAGAGAUUUAGAAUAAUACAUUCGACGAAACUCAAAUUAACAAUCAAGAGGAUGAUGAGUUCCAAAUAUUAAAGUUUUCAAAGAAGCAAGAUAACAUGAAUGAAGUUUUAGAUAAUAAACGAAGGAUCUAAUGCUCAAAAGAGGGUUUUCAGAUGUUGAAACGUUGAUAUGCAAAUCAAUAAUUAGAUAGAAUCAAGAUGGGAACAAAAAUAAUAUAUGCCUUAUUUUAGGCAUUUUGUCGAACAUAUAGCGGACAUUCCAAUAAGUGUGUACAAUAUGUGAAGUUUUAUGCAACUAGAUCAUACAGAAGAUACAAGAUAUGAAAUUAAACGGUUAGAAUGACGAAGAUUAGAUAUAACGAAAUCAGAUUUUGAUGGUUUCAAAUUUCAAUCAUCAUGAGGCGAGUAUUCAAAAUAAUAAUAAAACAAUGAACAAAGAGGUUGGAUGAUCACAAGAUUCGAUAUAGAGGUAAAAUGAGGGAAAGAAAAAAACCUUCUCGAAAAUGGUGAAGAUGACGGCAGGAUGCCGUCGAUAGCGAACCAAAAAUAACGGCCAAAGAAGAUUGCGGCGGAGGCGGCUACGGAUGAUGGCGACGAUCGGAUGGCGUCGCGCGCGCACGUGCGAAACGGCAGAGGUCGUACGGACGCGGUGAGGAGGAGAGAGAAAGAGUCGUGCGGGAGGGGAAAAGAGAGAUCGAUCGGGUGGGGUUGGCUAGGGAAAAUUAAUUAAAUUAGGUACUAAUUAGGUAACAAUAUGCCACCGAGUCCCUCGAAGAUUGGAAAUUACGAAAAGAUCCAAACUUAAUUAGAUAGGAGUCAAAACAAAAGGUUUAAAAGUAUGGGGUGUUACAUUCUCCCCUUCUAAAAGAAGUUUAAUUCUCUAAACUUAACAUAUCUUAGCUCUCGAAGGACUAAGGAUACUUCAUUCUCAUUUACUCCUCGAGCUCCUAAGUAGCUUCCCGCUCAGAAUGGUUGUUCCACUGAACUACUAGCAUAAAUCAAGAUAUUAUCUACUCAGACAAUACUCCUACAAAUGCGGUCAAUCACAAGCUUCUCCCCAAAAGGCGCCCGACACAAAAAUAUAAACAAAGGUUUCGGAGGUUAACAAAUGAUUUCGAACAAAAGCAAAAGAGAUAAAGGAAUAUGUAGCUCCAGAAUCAAAGAGAACACGAGCAAAAACAAAAGCCACGGGAAGAAUACCACGGACUACAGCAUUAGAUGCCUGGACAUCCUGCUGGGAGAGCCUGAACAUAACCCUGCGUCCGAGGUCUUCCACCUCUGGACUGAUCGGUAGAAGGGGCAUGAUCACGAUCGGCUGGAGCAAUAGAUUUCUCCUGAGGCUUGGUGCUACAAGGUAAAAUUUCCUUACAUUUGACACAUACCAAUCAUUCUCAAUUCCCAAAUUGGCUCUAAUCAAAUUACUCACUUCAAAUAAAAUAAUUGCAUUACAUAUUUGAAUAAUCUUUCCUAUACACUGAAUCUGUAGUUUAGAACACAACACAAAAACAAAAUAAGUGAUCCAUCUGAAGUUAAGAUCAAGCCCAUCAAAAUUCAGAUGAUUUAAAUCAUAUACCAAAAGAAACACAAUUUAGAAGUUACAAUAUCUCAAACAGCUUCAAGAAACACUCCAACAACUGCAUGAAUCAACAGGAAAUAAAUGUUUCCUUCGAAAGCUAGACCAUGAACCUAGGGAUGCCAAUGGGUUGGAGUUCGGACGGAUUUUGGUAAACCCGAACCCGAACCCGAAAGCCAAAUCCAAACUCGACGGAUUUUGAAAAUCCAUAUUCAAAACUAAACCCGACCAACAACCUGAAACCCGAACCUGAACUCGGAACCCCAGGCCCAAAACAAUUAUUUCUAUUUACCUCAAUAUUUCAAAACCUAUUAUAAUAAAAUGUAAAUUUUCAUAAUGCAAAUUCAAAUGUAACAUCAAACAUAUCUAUAUAUUAUAUAUUGUAAAAUCUAUUCUGAUUCAAAUCGGGUUUAGGUUCGGAUUCGGGUUCGGGUCUGUUAUAGACAAAAUCUAUAUCUGAAUCUAAAUCCAUGAGGUUUUCAUUUUUUAUACCCAUAUCAAAAACCUUUAGUAUUCGUAUAAACCAGCCCUGUUCAGGUUUGGGUUCCGAUUCGGAUAAAAUUUUUGGUAUUAGUACCCAUUGACAUCCCCACAGGAACCACUAAGUUCACACCAUUUAUUUAAUUUAUUUUCCAAAUACAAUCGUAGGGAUAAGACUUUGACAAAUCCAUGUAAAAAAGAUACUAAAUUCGACAUAACACUCAAUAGACUAGGAAAACCGGCGAAAGAAACAACAAAAUCUUCAGUCCAACUAUUUGCGGUCGGCUAUAUGGAUCCUGGUUCUUCAUUUAUCAUCACCAAGAGCAGGUAUAAAGCAAAAUUACCAUCAAAUCCCGGAGUUUUACCACUAAGAGAGUUUCAAUAUGAUGCCCAAGCCGGUUUUCCGGAACUUAAAUCUCGGAACAAACUGGGAGGUGGUGGUGCAGGUGAAGUGUGAUCAUUGAACAAACCAAGUUGUUCAAUGAGGCUGUUGAGCAUCACACCAGCCACAUAGGAGAGACCCGAUGCCGUUACGCCGAGGCUGAGGUAGUACAGCAUUGUCGCAAUGUACUUCCUCGGUAGCCUAAUGUGGGCCUUUCCGAUCGCAAGUAGAGCAACGCAUAGAAGAGAUGCCGCGGCGACGGCUAUGAGCUUGUGUUCCGUGUUGCUGCUCUUCCUGAAUGAGAAACCGUACACUAGAGGCGGUAAUGUCCCAACAAUUAUGUACGAUAGGACAGCGACGAUUAAAUGACGAACGAAAUGGGGCCUCUUUCCGAGUGUAUCACGGUAGCGAUCGAAAUCAUUCUGAAUUAAAUGAUCAGUAGCCUCGUCGUGCUCCUUUCUCAGUUCAAAAAUCUGUAGGGCAAAAAAGUACUUAGUUCGGAGCUACAAAUAUAAGCCACACAAACUUAGCAAAGGAAUGAUAGAGCAAUUGCACCUGAAGGGGUGCUGGUGCUUGGAUUAACGUAAUUGUAGUUCGGUUGAAAAUCAAGUGCAGUGAGAGUAAUAUAUUGGUCUUACCAUCAACUAGGAUAAUCUUGGGAGGUUUGCUGUCUGGAUCUAGGCUAGAUUUUGGGUCUUUCUACGAAGAUGACUUCAGACAAUUUCAAAGGGAAUUUGUUUUCGGAAAUUUAAGCCUGUUGCUUCCUAACGGACUUCUCGAUGUUUUAAUGACGGAUGGCAAAACUAAUGUCUCUACCGUUAAUAAACUUGAUUUACACCUGAAUUGCAGCUUCAUCAAUCCAAACGCUCCCCUAAAAUGAAGUAAUGGUUGACAAUGCUUUUCUAACUUGUCCUUCAGCUAAAACUAGUUUGGCAACAUAAUCAUUGCUAUCUCAGCUUCAGCUUUUUUAUGGUUCAACCCGAGCACGACAAUUAGUUAAGGAGGGUAGAAAUGAAAAUCAACUUAAAUUUCUCCUAGAAUAGUUCAAACAUAUGCGCAAGUAAAAAGCUCGGAGCCUAGCUCAAGAAGCUUUUUUAAGUUCUAUAACAAGUAUUAUUUUGUUCAAGCACGGGUCAAAAUAAUAAAUAAAGAAAAAGGCGACUUACAUUAUGGACAAUAAGAAACAAUCCACUGAUAAGAUUUGCCACUGCCAGAACAAAAAUAUUCACUGCAGGAAAAGGGAGAAAUCACAGUUAAGGGAAGUCAAGUUAAAUAAAAGAAAGUGAGGACCACCUUUGUCUUCUAACAUACAAUAACUACUCUUACUCAUUGUCUAACAAUGUAGAAUAUCACAUACGGUUUUUUGCUUCGAUCUAAUUAGUCAUUGAGUUAUUCUUCAAAUAAAAGUACUAUAGAAUGUAAUAAUGCCCUCAAGGAAAUCACGAAAAUAGAAAUUAAUUGCCUUAAUAGUGUACACGAAUUUCACUAGAGCUGUUAGUUGUUUACUUCCAUCUAUGUUGGUUAAAAUAAUCUUUUUACAUAUGCAAAAGAAUUAAGUGGGUUGUUGUUGCUUCUCAUCCGAUUCCACCAAAACUUUACUACUAAAUUGUUGAGAAUCCUCAACCUACCCUGAUACCAAUUGCUGGAAAUUGGUACCCUCUCUAAUACCAAUUAUUGGGAUCUGCAACAUGCUCUAAUACUAAUCGUUGGAAAUCCAGUAGCUGCUCUGACACGGAUUCCACAAUGGAAGUUUUAAAUUGUUUUUUUUUUUUUAACCAUAAACUCUUCUCCGUGGCAAAAGUUUGUAAAAACACAAAGAAAGAAACCAAAUAAGAGAAGACAAAAAUAUUAGGUGAAUAAGAAUUACCACCCUUCUCGUCUUCUAUAUCCCUAGAAGACUUUUUUAUUUUCUCUCUCUCUCUCUCUCUCUCUCUCUCUCUCUCUCUCUCUCCAAGCAGCGUGAGCACCAGCAAUCUGCCGAGCAUCCCACUGAGCCAGCCAAGUUCUUCUCUCAUAUAUACUAUACCAACUCCUAAUUUAAAUAUAAUUCAAUACCUAUAUGUAUUGCAAAAGAUUAGUGUAAGCCAAAGCUGAUCAACAGUACAUCACUCCACCAUUGGCUGCUACUUAGAAUCAGAGAUGCAAAUUAGAAUUCUAAUGCAAAUUUCAUCUUUCACUUCUAUCCCAAUUUACUUAGGAUUUAACCUUUUAGAUAACAAAAAUCUAACCAACGUCUGUCAAAAUCUUCAUUCUAUGUGAAAUUAUUCUGUUGAAGUGUGUAUCAUAAAUCUAUGAACAUGAACACUGUACCGAUUCUUUCUAAUAAUUUCUAGUGUUCUAGUCAAAAUAUGGAACCACUGCUUCACAAGAACAGGAUAUACCAUUAGUAAAGUCGAUAAUAAAUCCUUCACUCAGUAUUUUUUGGCAAUAUGAGUUGGUUUCAAGUGUUCGAAUGAAGCUUAAAACCACUCAUUUUUUCGACAGGUUUUAACUGAUCUAUUGAAAGCAAAACAGUUUCAUCAACUUUGGCAGAUCAUUCAACCCAUGAUAAUGGCAAUAAAGGAGAAUCAUGUUUCUGAACUAUUUCGUAGUCCACAAAAUCCGUAUGCAGAAGCAGAUAAUUGUUAGUGUACUUUGAUAAGCACCUAAGCUGCUACGAAUCAUUUGACUCAUUCCAUAGAGAAGGAUAAGUACACUGAAUCUUAAUUUCCAAACAUCUCAAGAGGAUACACAAUAAUGAAACGAGGAUUAGCAUACUAAGAAAUGAGGAAUCUUUUAAACUUACAAGUGGAAGCACCAGAUGCUGCAGCAGAAGAUACAAUAGAAAGGCUUGCGAUCGAUUCAACUAAGCCCCCGUAGACAAUGGCUUUCAGUAUAUCCCACUCGAAAGGUUCUCUUGUAGCUUCUACUUGAAUUGGCUCGCUUUCAGGAAUCUGAACAAGGGAAUGUGGUGCAGGUACCUCAGGAACAGGAAUUAUUACAUCACCCCUAGAUUGGACGUCUACGAGGAUGUAAUUUGUAGGUUCUACUUUAAUUGGCUCGCUUUCAGGAAUCUGAACAAUGGAAUGUGGUGCAGGUACCUCAGGAACAGGAAUUAUUGCAUCACCCCUAGUUUGGACGUCUACGAGGAUGUAAUCUCCUGCAUAUUCAUUGCAGAGAAAUAAUACAAGUUAUGCCAAGUUUUUUUCUUUUUUCUUUUUUCCUUCGCACAAUCAAAUCAUUUAAUCUGGAAAAAAAAAAAAAAAAAAAAAAAAAAGAGGUGUGAGGAUCUUCAUAAAGAAAGUAGAAGAAAGAGUUGGAUGAAAAUUUCUGUGCACAUAUAUACCCUGGAAAAAAUCGAAUGCCCUUCUUACAUAUACACUGUUGUACAUCACAGAAUCUCCCUCUUGGAAAAUAACUUUUUCUGAUAGAAGGCCAACUUUUCCAAUAAUUGCACAACUCCCUAAUUUAGGAAAUAGGUAUUUUGUAAGGAACUGCAGUUUUGAGGUGUAUAAGUGUGAAUAGAUGAUCUUGCUGGGAUAUAUAGAUGUAAAAGCCAUUUCUGAUGAGACACAAAUAAUAUAAACAGAUCCUCCAAAACAUUCACAGGGAUGCACCUACAUAUCUAUACUAAAAUCUAGAGAUUUCAGACAAAAAAUAUUUCAACAUCGUGUAUUUGCAUAAUCUCUGCCCCACCUAAUAUAAUUGUUGAGGCUUCAAAAACGUAACAAUGUUAAUAAUAAUAUAGAACUUAGUGUCCUGUAAUAGACUAAUCUCUAGGGGCAUUUUGCACUGUUCAGAACCAUGCAAAGCAACCAGCGAGAAACUCAAAAAAAUUUUGGAGCUGUGGAACAACUUACAUUCUGACCAACAAGUUACACAAGUUGGUAAAUUGUGGAUCAUGUAAUUUCAGUAGCCAAAUGAUAAAAGAUUCUGUGCUGUGCUAGUAAGAUAGGUGAAAAAUAAAUCUGCGGCGUGUACUAGAUGAAAUUAGGUGAAGAAAAUCAAAUCUUUAUUUACUAGCUGCGAGUGUAUUUAGUAUUGCGACAUAAGCUAUCGCACUCAAAUGAUACCAUGAAUCCCAUGAAACCAUAUAUGGAAAUUUGGAUGGCCUAACCAGAGUUUGAAGUUGAUUACAUCAAAGAAUCCCACUAGGACUUCGAUUGCUUCAAAACUACCUCGUGGACAAAUUGGCCUCUGUGGAUUAACCAAGUAUAUGUCAACUGAUAUGAGUCUUUUCAAAAACAGUGUGUGUGGCUCUUUCUUUUUAUUUUUGCGUCUCACAAUCCAAAUUCUUGGCCUUUAAUGUCAAAACAAUGUAAAACAACUUUCAAAGCUCUGCUUUGAUUUGAUCAUAUUUGAUACCUAUUUCCUGUUUCGUUAAUUCACAUCUUCUGAAGUCCUACUUGCUACACAAUAAACACAUGCCAUCAUUGAAUUUUCUAUAGGAUUUUGAAUCAAGAAGAUAUUUAGUCGUCAUCGCCCUUUCUUUCCCUUAAAAUUAAACUCUACUUGUAGAGUAUAUCUUGCUACAAAACUACCUGCAACAGCUUCUGGUUGACUUGUGUCCACUGUGUUUUGGGCUGGUUCCUUCCCUGGUUCGCUUGAAAUAUUAAAUCCGUCAGGAGCUUGGAAAUCUGAUAUUGGAACAGCAAGAUUAGUUGCAUGCCGAGAUCACACGGAGAAGCAAAAGAAGUUUGUCCUUAUCUGUACUAUGAAUUGCUUCAACAAUUUUCAUGGUAGAAGCAUGAAAAGAAGAGGCAAUAUGACCGUAGAUAUAUGGAGAAGUUCAUUUCAAACUAUGAAGUUAAGGAAAGUAUUGGAUAAGUUUACACAAGCAAGUUCAUUCGCUUAUAAAGAAUGCACAGUUUUGUCCUAGGACGAUAUAUGUCAGAAAGAAUGAUUGAUGCACGAUGCAUAUCUACUAUAUCAAAAUUAGUUCAGAGGAAACCAAUCUGUCAGAAAUUCGGUGGACCUAAUAUAAGAAGAAACUUGCUAGAAAAACCAAGUUUUCUUAGGGCCAGUUUGGACUAACUAGAGCUUCUGUUAAAAAUGCUGCUUAAGUAUAGCUGUUUAAAGAAACACUAAUAGCUUUUCCAAGAAAUUGCUUUUACGGCUUCUCCCUUGCAGCAGAAGCAGAAGAUUGCUUGGUGCUCAGCUUUUGCGGCCUAGAAGCUCAUUCUAUCUUUGUGGCACAGCCAAAAUCUCAUGCUCGGAAGUUGCCUCUUUCUGGAGUAGAUAAACCUAGCCUGAUAAUUUUCAUCGCUGGUGAAGUAGCUUUUCACUUUCAAAACAACUACAACAUAAUGCACAUGUACGGACUCCAAAAAUAGCGUCUUAUGCCAAGAAAAAGCACAAAUGUCGACAAAGAAAACUUUAAAGUCAAGAAUUUCGUUCAGAGUGGUUUACCGGACCUGCAUUAAUUUUCCAAUUAUCUUGUUUCUCUCCCCUUGUACUUGGUUGAGAUGGCUGUGCUUCAAAUUCACGAAUAGGCUGUUGCGGAGCAGUUUGCUUUUCCUCUAAUGCUGGUUCUUGUUGUUUUCUAGGAACAGGCAAUUCUCUGGGCAAAACGGUCCCUGCACAAAACAGAAGUCAAAUUUCUAGAGAAAGGUGGAUUACUACAAUGCCAGGAUAUAUAAAUUAAAUGGCGUGAUUGUAAAGAGAAUAAGUCGCUACAUAGAUUAAUAGAUCUGACAGUACUUAAUCAAUUAUUGAGAAGAGAAAUCGGGCAAUCUGAAUAGCAAGUUGUAUCGCCACUUUCACACUAUUGAGCUCAAAUAUAGGGCAAGGAAUGAUUAGAAGUAAGGCCUUGGUUGGCAUUGCUGCUGCUUUUUGUUUUUCUUAAACACGAAUUCCGUGUGAUGGAGUGCGCAGGUGAAUUGCAGAUUGCCGGUAGCCUAUACAUCUAUGGUGUUUAUUUGGUAGCAAGAAACAAAAAAUUUAGGCCUCAUCUGGCAUUGUAGACAUUUUUCUGUUUUUUAUAAACACUCAGUCUACAUAAUUUCAUAUACAGGUGGAAACAUUUUUCUCUUGUUGUCGUGGUUAGUUAAUUGUAACAUACUCUAGCCAAAUAAUGGACAACAACUUAAAUUAAAAAAAAAAAGAAUAAAAGAUAAAGUUACUUUAUUUAUUUAUUUAUUUAUUUAUUUUGCUGACCAACCAACUUAGAGUGUGAGUAUUGCAAGCAACCCACCAUCCUUUUCAACAGUAUUUCACGUGAAAUUUUUAUUGAAGCAAAAAAGAAAAAUGGCAAUAAUACCAAAUGAGGCCUUAGAAGUAACUUUUUUUCUUUUUCUUUUUUUCACUUCUUUGUUUUUCUUUUGAAGAAGUUGCAUUUCGGCAUGUGGCUUGGGAGCGUCACAACUAAACAGCAAGGACAAAGAUAAAGAAGCCCAUCGGCCAACCCGGCGAUGAUACCAUAAGAAUACGUGGUAAGCGUGCACCUCAUCGGUUUCAAGGAAACAUAGUAAGCGUGAGCAUGGUAAGCAUCAGAAGCAUCAGAAUACGUGCUAAGCGUGCACGUCAUCAAUUUCAAGGACUUCUAAAAUCCACGAGUUCAAACGUUGCUCUUAUUUAAAUUCAACUUGGGAGGUCAGCUGAAAAAGGCUUCUCAUUUUACAGAAGUGCUCCCACUCCUCUAUUUUUAUUUCCUUCAAAACAGUUAUAGAGAGAUUUUAUCUAAUCAUUCGGUGACUGGUUCGCCCUUCAUUCUCAACCAGUAAAGAUAAGAUUCUCUAGACACCUUAACAACUAUUACCAAGGAUAAUAAAGUAAGUAUAUUUCAGAGACUCCUGCAAGUUGACAGAAUUAACAUAAAUUAUAAGGAAAGGACAAGUGCAUCUUCUGACCUGCGUCACUGUUUUCAAUGGUGAUUUGAUUUUGAUUAGAUGUUUCAGCUCCUGGUGCAGUUGAAUCUUCUGGACUUUGCCAUCCUCUCAAGGUCGGAUCGUCUCUGGGUUCUGCAUAAGCAAUUAAAGAUUGUGACGAAGUUUCAAUAACUAGUGUUGACUUACAAAUAUCAUCAAAUACAAUCAAGUUGGACAACAUCAUUGGUAAUCAUUUAGCAUGAUUACUUCAAUUCAUCCAUCAAUUUUUCCAAAUAGAGAAAGUAUCGACAAGAUAAACACAAAUGAAACUGACAAUCACCGUAUUUUUAAGAAGAAAGAUGAUUCCAGCAUUAAUUUUCUACAGGUCACGAGGCCAGUUCUACUAACAUGUCAUUCAUGUUUGCCAUUGGAAAAACUUACGCCAUCUGCGUCCCAUAGAGUUAGAUUUGCUAACUGUCUUCUCCCUGGGGAUCAUAUCAUGUGUUUUUCUAGAAAUGUAUCCGGUUUCUUCCCAGACAUACGAGCGAAGGGUGUAUACACACAUACAUACAUGAGUUGUGUGACUGGAUGUAUAUGCAUGAGAGGGAAAUGUAAUCUAGGAAAUUUUAUAAAAGAACUAGCUCUUUUGCUCAUAUUCUACACAGGUCACUGUUUUUGAUAUACUUGGAGUAAACUGAGAUAAGCCCCCAAAGUGCCUUAUCCUGUUGACUUUUGUCCUGGACAUAUCGACCAUCGAUGUCUGAUCAUAGACCCCAUUACUAAACAGUGAAGAUACUAUCCCUAUCAAAGAUUUAAGUACCGUGGUAGGGGGUCGUGCGGAAAACUUGAUGACACAGUAAAUGCCAAUACAUGCCGGUCACAAAAAAUAUGUGUACCAACAUAUAAUGAAAUUUAUUGAAAUAAAUACUUGCUAAUUUAAAGAAAAGGGAGUUUUAAGUCGUGUCAUCGGUACCGGAGCUGUACCGUGCCAAUAUCUUAAUGGCACGAUACAGCACGGUAGAUACUGUCCAUGCCGAUGGGCACUUAAAUACUUGACCUCUGUAUUAUAUAAAUUCUCCAACUAAUCGCAUUGCACCCUCAUUUUUCCAGUAUGAUAAUAUUUUUUGUCUUUCUCUAUCAAUUUAUCUCCCUAAAUAAUUAUGUGUUUUAAUUCAUUCCCUUGCGGUCCCAAUCUCACUACUCUUUACAAAUAAGGACUCCUAUAAUUUUCCAAUGUAUAUUGAAAAAUCCCUUUUACUCAUUUUCUGAUGCGAUUAGCAAGAGGAUUAAGAGAUUGUUUUGUAUAUACUAUAGAGUUAGAACACUAAGUCAAAUAAAAUAAAGGCUGGAGACAAAUCAGAACUACAAAAUAUAAACCGAACAAAUGCUAACUAGCCUAAACAUUGCAGCAAUUAAAAAUCAGGCAACAUGUAUUUGCAUCCUUAUAUUGUCUCUAACAAGCCGGAUUCAUCGAGAUUAGAAUGUCUAAUUAAUAUCUUACUUUUCAUUCUUAUUUUUCAGAAUAAUUUAAGUAUAUGGAUUUACAGGUUUCAGUGUAGUGUCAUAUGUAAGAAGAAUCAACCAAAAUAAUAAGCUCUGUCAAGAACCACAUAAUCAGAUAUCAACAUCAAUUCUUUACAUUUCCAAUUAAAGCACCAAAGUAUCAAAAAUCAGUCAGAGGACCACUGCCAACUUUUGCUGCUUAACUGGAAACUUUCUCAUCAGUAAUUUAUCCGGUAAUUUAGACUAGGAGUUUACUCUUUUAUGAUUAUUGAUACUUUAAAUGUUAAAAGCCACUGUAAUUAUAUAAGUUCAUGAGGAUAAAGUUGUGCCAACUUUCUACCUCGAGCGUUGUUGUGCUACGUUCUAAUAAAAUAUCAUAUACAAAUAGUCAAACUUAUAAGGGACCUUAAUAGGAAAAAUACAGUGGUCAAAUUAUCUUGUUUGUCUGCAUUAAUCAUUAAUAAAAGGGAAAACUUCAAAUACUUCCCCUGUGGUUUAGCAUCCUUUUUUUUUCAUUUUUCUUUUUUUUUACUUGAUACCCUGUGGUUUAAAGUGUACCACUUUAGUAUCCUAUAGUUUAGUUUUUCUCUUUUUAUUACCCCCUCCGUUAACUUUUUCGUUAAACUAGUGAUAAAGUUAAAACUGCAUUGUAUUAAACUGAAAAAUCAGUAAACCACAAAGGAGUAUCUGAAGUUUUGUUUAUAUGUUUUGACGGAGAAGUUAACAGAGGGUUGACCGAAAGAGAAAAAACGAAACAACAAUGUGCCAAACAAUGAUUAAAGUGUCAUGGCAUGGGGGCGUGCCGUUGUUUGCCUUGCAUAGUACGACACAGGAAAGCUUCCGUGCCGACAUGUGAUACGAUUGCGUGCCAAUAUAUACGCAUGACCUCCUAUUAGCAUGAUUUGGCAUGGACUUAUUUUAGUUUUUUUUGUUCCAAUAAACUCUUAUAAUGUUAUUUUGAAAGAUUUAGUCAAAUAAUUAUGAAUAUUAGCUAUGUAUAGUUUACUAUACUCAUCAAUUAAUAUACUGGUAAGCUUUUUUAUAUAUUAAGUACAACUAUACCUGAUAGAGAAUAGAAAUUAAAAUACAAUAAAAAAAACUCACAAGUACAAUAAUUAUUUAAAUUUAUAUCUUUGUAGAGAGAUGACUGCUUAAUUAUUUAAAUUUACAUUUUUUCAAUAUAUUGAUUCGAUCAAGAAGCAUAUAAUGACUAGAACAACUAGAAUAAGACCGCAAAUCCCCAAUUACAUCCAGAAUUUUUUUAUUUUUUAUUCUUUUAAAAAAUAUUUAAUCAAAAUUUGAAGAAAAUGAUUUUUAAAAAUAUACUUAGAAAACUUGUGAGAAUUUAUCAACUUUUAAAAUUCUUUUGAUUUUUCUUUCUUUUAUUCAAAUUUAAAAAUUUAUAAAAUACAAGUUAGAGAAACAUUUUUUCUCAAAAUUUUAAUUUUUUAAAAUUAUUUAUAUUAUUUUUUCAAAUUAUUAUAGGGUAGAAUUUUAAAAUGCAAAGACAUAUUUCUUUCUUUCUUUCUUCUGACCAUAUUACAGUCUUUUUUUUAUAAAAUACAAAGUAAAUGAUUUUUUAAAUUAUUUUUUAGAAUUAUUUGAAAAACAUAUUUUGUUUUAAUAUUUUAAGAAAAAUUGUUAGAUCUAUCAAUAAAAAUUUAGCAAUAAAUUAUAUGACAAAUAAAUUAAAUAAAUUUAAGUAUCAAUUGAUUUAAUUUAGUUUUUAAUUUUAUGAGUAUUUUCAAUCUUCUAAACCAAAAUAAAAUUUUAUAUUAGAUGUGCCUCAAAUUUUGUUUAUCGAGUUUGAUUUUGUAUGCUUGUGUGAGAUCCCUGGUGUUCUGCUGUGGAGGCUUGUCGACAGCUCUGGAGAAUGUCGGGACAAGUCCGAGUCGCGUUGGCGUCAAAUAGACGUAAAACGGAUUCCGUGCGACGCGAGGGCCGCUUAUCGCGAAGAAUUCUACAAAACAGCAGCAUUCUCUGCUUGCUGUACCGGUACAAGCUUAGUGGCUGUACCGGUACAACCAGCGCGAAAUAGCUUAACUGCUCUUGGGUUGGCUCUUGUACCGGUACAAGAGCCCGUGUACCGGUACAAGAGGGUAGGUAGAGGGCUAAAUGUGUAAUUUUAUCCCUCGUUUGUAUCACCCCUCACUCCCCUCUAUAUAGCUUCGUGUAGAGAGAGUGAGAGAGGUCUUCUAGCUGCUUUUAUCCAUCUCUCCAACUCCCUCAUCCGGUUGAAGGCAAGAGGGCGCUCGGAUUCGUCGCCGACGUAGUGCCGCGGAGUUGUUCGAGCGCUCGUUUGUCGCCGUGGUGCUGUGAGGAGCUUGGGCGGGCUUGGAUUUGCAUCGUCUUCGACGUGGUGACGACUCUUGAAGGUUGUUCAAGGUGAGUGUGUUGCUGGAAUCGCCUCUAUUACUUCAGCAACAUCAUUUUGAGCUUGAAUGCUAUUUUGCUGUUUUUCGCCGUCGACCGUUGGUAUUUCAGCUCGUUCUCGACGUAGGAGCACCGGAUUGCGACGCUCGAUUUAGUCCAUCAAUUUUGACCACUGUCCAGGUUUAGCGUCCAAAAGAGGAUUAAGUUAAAAGUUCAGGUUGUACAUAUUAGAUAAAUGAACUAUUUUAUACGAGCUUUUAAGUCUAAAAUGUAAGAUUGUUAUUAGGUACUUAAACUCGAUUGUUGAUAACAUCUUUAGUGCUAAAUAUGUACAGCUGAUUAUUUGUGAAUCCUCAUUUCGGCUACAUUGGGUGGAGUUUUCUAUUUAGGUCCGUCGCUUGCUUCGGAGCUUGGUCCUGUUGGAGACGACCUAGUUGAUCCCUGGAGGUUCAGGCCACCUGCUCGAUUGCGGUUCGAUUUGUUAAUUCCUAGGAGUUAAGUCAGGUCUUUAAGUGUCGUCGACUCAUCUUUGCCCUAAGCUGGCUCGAUUGGAAGUGGUUUAGACCGUUUACACCCGAAGCACUUAAGGAGAGCGUCAGGACUUAGGUUGUUCGGUUCAGANNNNNNNNNNNNNNNNNNNNNNUUUGGCUAGUUGGAGCCUGAUUGAGCUCGACAGAGAUACGCUGCAUACUCGGUUGGGUAGCGCCCACGAGUGCCACUCCGGAGUCAGGCUUGUGCUUUUGCAUUGGUGUCACUCAUGCCAGUUGGACUUGCUCUCCAGGGACCAGUUAGUGUGGAUAUUGCCGAUAGUCGCAGCGGGGCAGGGACGGGUGUAUUCACAGUCCCGGGGACGGGUAUGCUUACAGUCCCGAUUUGGAUUGGGUCAGAUUUGACAUUUCCUACAGUUGGUUAGUGUAGAGCAUGAUGGUGUAGUGGAUGAUAGCGGUAGAGUGUGCUUCCUGCUUUCCUUCUAUCCUUGCUCCCUUCUGUAGACUUAGUGGGUGACCGAUGUCGUGUUGGGCGGUACCCACUGAGGACUACUUGUUUUUACAGUAGUUCUCACGCCCAGUUGUUACUUAUGUUUUGCAGAGCCACAGGUGCCGGCUGCUGCAUCUUCCGCCGACCAGGAUCGAGGCAAGGGCGUUGUGAGCUAGAGCCCUACCCGACAGUCAGAGCUAGAGGCUUUCCCCUUCUGCAGGUAGUUGUUGUUUUGGAGUUUAUGUACAUAGUUAUUUAACUCGCCAGUGUGAGUAGCCUUGUAUUUUGGAUUCUAGCUAUGUAUAUGAAACUCAGAUAUUUAGCUUAUUUUUGAGCAGCUCUAUGCUACUGGUUGUAGUAUUAUUUUUCUACAGGUACUUUGACGCUUCGUAUACAGGAAAAAUUCCUUUGUAUACGGCGGAUUUGUGGGCGUGCCCGGGGAACGAGACAUCCGGGGCGUGACAGAUUAAGUUGGUAUCAGAGCUUUGCUAUAGGUCGUUGGGACCUAGGAAACCUAAGUUUGGCAAACCUUAGGAAGGCAAGAUGCGAGAGGCGUGAUAUUAAUUGCGAAAGUCAAUGAUUAUUUGUUCUAACUCCUCCUAGAGUGGGGUGAGUGAUUGAAGGAGUACCUGUUUUGGCCUGAGAAAUUAUGUUGGCUGCAGACGACAUAAUUUUGGAGAGAAACAGGGACCGCCUUCCAGACUUUCGUUGAUUGGGUCGAGAGUGUUGUGUGGUAUCUGACCCCGACUUGUUUCUUUUCAGCUAUGUAUCGUCGCCGAGGUCGACCGUCGCUGCGGGAUCGUGUGGGACCUUCUGAGAGGUCUGAGCAGAUGGAGCAGAGUACUCGGCAGGAGCAGAGGGACAGACCGGAGGCGAGUGCACCCCCUGUUGUGGAGCCGAGUGCGCGACCUGAGGCUAGCGUACUCCCUGAUCUGAGUGCACAGUUGGCUGCCCUGACUGAGGUGACGAGGCAGCAGGGGGAGUUGUUGCAGAGGUUGUGUGAGAGGAUAGCUCAGUCACCGAGUUCAGCACCGAGUGUACCAGAGCAGACUGUACCAUUCCCGACUACUCCAGUGACAGCUCCAGUUGCAGCAGUUCCUCCGUCAGUAGCAGUUCCAGUAGCGCCUGUUGCGCCUGCUAGGGGGCCAGUACCGUUGACUGAGGCCGAGCAGGAGCGGUGGACGGAGAGGCUCGUUUCCGCCAAUUUGAUCCACCGAUCUUCGAUGGCAGAGGCACUGAGGCCUGGGUUGUUGAGGGAUGGGUCAGUGCAAUGGAGAGGUUAUUCGAGGAUCUGUACGUUCCAGAGGGGGAGCAGGUACCUCUGGGAGUACACUGUUUGUCAGGUGAUGCACGUGACUGGUGGCGGAGAGUGAGGCGAGACCAAAGACUAGAGGCAGCGCAGCUGAGGUGGGAUGAGUUCUGUGGAAUGCUGUAUGGGAUGUAUUUUCCUAACAGCAUGAAACAGAAGAUUGAGGAGGAUUUAAAGAGGAUCCAGCAGGACGAGCGGACAGUUCAGGAGUAUGUUCGGGAGUUUACUAGACUCCUGAACUGUGUUCCGUUCGUGGCCAGAGACGAGGCACAUAGAGUCUACUUGUUCGAGCGGGGUUUGAGACCCGACCUGUUCAGGUUCGUUAGGGCGCAGAGGUCGAGGACUUUGGACGCGUCCAUUGAGCAGGCACUAUGGAAGGAGAGAGGAGAGGUGUCACUGCGAGAGAGGGCUCAGGGGCCGGGACAGAGUCAGGACAGGAAGCGCCCAGCUCCAGACGACGGAGGCCAGUCGAGUAGCAGGCGUCCGCCGAGACCUCCACGAUCGCGUUCUCAGGGUCGUGGGUUCUCGGGACGUCAGCGAUCCAGAGACUCCCGUCAGAGAGGACAGCCUGAGAGGGCGCCGCAGUGUGUGAUCUGCGGAGGACCACACUGGCCCAGACAGUGUGAGCAGAGGGAGGGCCGGUGCUACGGAUGUGGUCAGCCGGGACACAUGAGGGCAGCUUGUCCCAGAGCAGCAUCUCCAGCACCAUCAUCUGCUUCAGCUCCACCAGCACCUCAGCAGACUUACAGAGCAGCACCGAGUUACCGCCAGGAGGAUAGGUCGUCCAUGCCGCGACAGGGUGAGCGUCGACAGCAGGCUCCGAGUGGUAGAGUCUAUGCAGCUCAGGUGGAGGACUCUACAGCAGCCGACCGAGUGGUGGCAGGUAUCACUUUGAUUUCUGGCAUUAGAGUUCGCACUCUUUUUGAUACUGGUGCAUCGCAUUCCUUUGUUAGCCGAGCAUUUGCAUUGUUGCAUGGUCUAGAGUUAGGGGCAUUGUCACAGGCACGAGAGGUGCAGAUCCCGGACCAUGUUUUACAGGUUGCGGAGUGUUGUUGGUCGUGUCCGGUGCAGUUGGACUCGUGGGUCAUGCCCGCAGACCUGUUGGUGUUAGGGCAGCUGCAGGACUUCGACGUCGUGCUCGGUAUGGAUUGGCUGGCGCGGUACUACGCUACGAUCGACUGUGGAGCGAGGACGGUGAUGUUCCGCGAGCCAGGCCAGAAGGAGUUCACUUUCAGAGGCUGCAGGAGCACGCUAUUUGCCACCUGGAUAUCUUCGGCGAGGGCUCGACAGAUGCUGAGUAGCGGGUGUAUCGCUUUCCUAGUGACUGUUGUGGAGGUACCUACGGCGGCGCCGGGACUUGAGGACAUCCUAGUAGUCCGCGAGUUUCCGGAUGUAUUUCCCCCUGAGUUGACGACGUUGCCGCCGGAGAGGGAGAUUGAGUUUGUGAUUGAUGUAGUUCCUGGAACUGCACCAAUCUCAAAGGUACCUUAUCGGAUGGCACCGGCGGAGCUGAGAGAGCUAAAGGCGCAGCUUCAGGAUCUGAUGGAUAGAGGGGGUGCCAGUGUCGAUUAGUGGGUGACCGAUGUCGUGUUGGGCGGUACCCACUGAGGACUACUUGUUUUUACAGUAGUUCUCACGCCCAGUUGUUACUUAUGUUUUGCAGAGCCACAGGUGCCGGCUGCUGCAUCUUCCGCCGACCAGGAUCGAGGCAAGGGCGUUGUGAGCUAGAGCCCUACCCGACAGUCAGAGCUAGAGGCUUUCCCCUUCUGCAGGUAGUUGUUGUUUUGGAGUUUAUGUACAUAGUUAUUUAACUCGCCAGUGCGAGUAGCCUUGUAUUUUGGAUUCUAGCUAUGUAUAUGAAACUCAGAUAUUUAGCUUAUUUUUUAGCAGCUCUAUGCUACUGGUUGUAGUAUUAUUUUUCUACAGGUACUUUGACGCUUCGUAUACAGGGAAAAUUCCUUUGUAUACGGCGGAUUUGUCGGCGUGCCCGGGGAACGAGACAUCCGCAGCGUGACAGCUUGAUCCGAAAGCUUUGCAGUGCGACAAAUUUUGAUAAAAUAAUUUGUGAAAAAAAAGUGGAGCCCCCUGCGGUAUGGAUUGGAAAUGUAAACAUCUAUUUUCAACUUUUUAUAAACAUUUUAUAAACUAUAGAUUAAAAGUUACAUAAUUUUAUAUUUCUUUAAAAAAUAAGCUUUGCAAAUAAAAAAUAUUCAAAAUAUAUAAACAAAAUAUUCAAAAUAUAUAAAUUAUAAUUUUUUUGACUUACCUAACAAGUAGAUCUUCGAUUUGCAAAAGGCCAAAAAGAAAAAGUACAAAAGGCUAGGGGGGGUGCUUCGGUACCCUAAAAAAAAAAAAAGAUCACGGCACGGUACUCUACGCUAUCUAGCACGAUACUCGCGAGGGUCCCACAGCAAGGCAGGGGGGGGGGGGGGGGGGGGGGGGGGGGGGGGGGGGGGGAUUCGNGUGUGUGUGGGGGGUGCGAGACCCCCCCUUGUACCGUGCCCGGUGCCCCUUUCUUGGGGGCACGGUACGUGCCGCCCCGUGCCAUACAACACGGAGCGGCAUUUUAAUUCCUGGUGCCAAAGUGAUACAUUUUUAACCAUAUAGUACUAAAGUAAAAAGGCACUAAACCAUAGGGGGAGUAUUUGAAGUUUUCCGUUAAAAAAAUCAAUACUAAGCCAUUCAAGCAAUAAUGGAUUUUCUUUAGAAAACCAAUAAAAUAACCAGUAAAAUCACAACAUGAAGAAGCUAAUACCUUGCCGACUAACUUCAUUGUGGCUGGGAACAGGUUGGAAAAUAGAUGGAAUCCACAGUUUAAAUCUUUCAGAUAUAUGAGUUGAACUUUGUCGAUUUGGAGUCUCCUCUUUGCCUCCACAUAAGCGAAAUAUAUUCCAACCACCACCCUCUGUUCACAAUAAAGAGCUAUUUCAAGUUUCUAUCUUUAUUCAAGAGUUGGAGUUGCAUAAAAACUUGUUCAAUUUUGUCGAAUACUGACAAGCAAAUUGCAACUCCACAAUCACGAAGAAAUAAAGGAAAGCACACGAACUAGAAUCAAAGAAAUAAAGGAACUAUUUCAAGUUGCUAUCUUUAUUCGAGAGUUGGAAUUGCAUAAAAACUUGUUCAAUUUUGUCUAAUACUGACAAGUAAAUUGCAACUCCACAAUCACUAAGAAAUAAAGGAAAGCACACGAACUAGAAUCAAAGAAUUGAGAAGAAAUCACAAGAGAAUAACAGUUGUGAAUUCAUACGAGAGUAGAUACAACGGAGAGUAGAAAUUAUCAAUUAUGUUUAAAGUGGAUCAUUCUUUCGCAGAAAAAAGAUCAAUCGAAAGCACAAAAGAAAAAGAAAUAGAAUUUGGGUAGAAUAUAACUUGUGACAAAAUAUAAAGUUGCAGACCCAGCAAGAGAUAAGAGCAAUAUGUCACAUCAUACUACUUUUCGAACCCAAUCGACAUAUGAUGGUUGACAAACAAGUCAGAAGUUCUAGUUUGCUUUCAUGUGAAGGUGCAUAUAUCUCCUUGGCAUGGAAGAUGACACUAACAUGCAAAUAAGGAAAGAGGAAAAGAAAUUAUACCUGUUGGAAAGAAGAAACUGAGGCAUGACAGGCAUCUGAAACACUCAGGAGGCUCCGUAGGAGGGCCUUGAUCAUCAAUUGGUGGUAAAGCCAAUAUAGGAUCCGCUUCAUGAAUCCUCUUGGGUGGCAUAUCAUAUUGGAUACCUUUAAUCCACCUUUUUCUUUUGCGUAAAAUCACCCUUUUAGUUAUACAUGAGUUGCAAUUAGGACAGAACAAGUCAUGAGUAUCUUGCUCCUCUAAAACUCUCUCCAGAUCAAAGUCAGGUAAAAUUACUUUACUAGACUUUAGUAAUGUGAUCUGUUUUUGUACGAUAACUCCAUCAUCAUUUUGUGUAAUUUCACUGUAACUAGAUCCUUCAGAAGAAGUUUUCGCAUAUGACCCAUUUUCCACAAUCACAUUCUUCGAAGUACCAUUUGCGUCUCGGAUAAAAAUAACAUCUUGUCUGUUUAACUCAUUAGCUUGAGAACUAACGUGUCCAUUUGUUAGGUCCUUCUUAGCAUCAAACUGUACCUCUUCUCUGGAUUCUGUCCCACCAUUUGUCAGGUCCUUUCUAGCACCAAAUUGCACGUCUUCUAUAGAUUCCAUCCCAGCAAUAUCCGUAACUUCGGUACCUGCAACACCGCACAGCAGCAUAUCAGCUUCUAAUUAGAACCUUUUUAUAGCUUAUUAUUGACAGUUACAAAAAAUUUAAUAUGAACAAUAACACUAACAAUGUGUCGUACUCGGAAAUUUGCUCUUUGAAAUAGGACCGAAUAACAGCGUAUCAUAAUAAACCCAGCAGAAAUAGAACAAGAAAUAGAAGACCACUCAGAAUGUCAUGACAAUUAUCCUAUCGUUCAAAAUGAGAAGUGGUUAUUUCAUUUACGCGUUCAUCUUUGAUGUUUAAUAGCCUACAAGCUUAGCCAUUGUUUUCUAUUUGUUCGAGUUUCAGAAGCUCAACAACUAACCUUUAGUUGGUGAAGCAUAAAAUGACUCAAUGUGAGGCAAGGAUUCGGCAUCCACCGCCAUUUGGCAAUACCCUGCAUGAUUCGGGAUAUAAUCUCUGCUGCUUGGACCACUCAUUUUAUAGGUCCAAUUGCAGUGCCGACACUUCCAUACUCCUUCAGUAAAAGACAUAUAAAAGUAAUAGUGUGUUCACCGGACACCAGAAGAAGAUACAUAUUACAUAGUACAUAUAUAAAGGAGAAAAUAAAGGACAACAAUUUAAAAUUUUUAUUCGAAUUCACACCAACGGCGGGCAAACACACUAGGAUUCAAGGUUGGGAUAUAAAAAACCAUUUCAUAAAUAAUUAUAAAGCAUUCUAAGAAUUAGAGGUGGAUUCUGCUAGGUAUUGAAUAAUUACUUGAGGUGAUAUUACCACAAAAUUCAGAUUUUUGUGGGUGUAUACGUAUUUAUUUAGAUAAUGUUGCGCAUACACAAACAAAUAUUUCUGGGUAAACUUAAUUAGCCGCAAUUAGACAUCUCACAUAAUGACACCAACAUAUCUUACGCAGAUCUGAGUUGCUCUAAAAAAUGCUACAUUGCACUCUUCCAAACAAAAAGUUUAUCUCACUUGACACCUCCUGAUUCUUUGGAUAUGAGAGCAGAAAAUCAAUUCUUAUAACAUUGCUUUGGAUGCGGAAAUUCUUACACAAAGCAUUAGAACAAUUUAUCCGACUAAAUAAUCUUAGAAAAAUGUAUCCAACUAAAGUUAUAUUCACAGCAACGGUUUGACGGAAGCACAGAACUCAAUUAGGACAGAAACCUAACUUGAGUUCUGUAUGUGCCGUCUAUGAGGUGAAAAACAAAGGUAUCCUAAUAGAAAAGGAGGACGAAAUGCCUUUAAUAGAAUAUGUAUUAAUCUCCAGUCAUAUUAAGCAGAAAAAAUGCAAAACCGAUGAACUUGGACAUGAGGCUUGUUAUUACCGAGAAUGUUGAUGUUGUUGUUUUAUCAAUGUAACAUAUAGUAUGAAUAUCUUAGAAUAUUACCGAAUGGAUGAACAAAAAAGUAUUUAUGUGCGAACAGAUGAAACGAGAAAAUGAACUUUCAUUUUCUAUAGUUUACGUUCUUUCGGCAAACUAAAGACAUGCCAGGCAGACUAUUUUCUCGUUCUAUGUUCUUUCGAACAAAAGAAAUCCCAACACAUACCUAAGUCAAACGUAAGCAGCAAUCUUGUUAAUAUAGCACAGAUAUAAAGCUCCAAAGAUUUUUUUUUUUUUUUUGUAAAAACUGAAAAUCCUAAGAAGGUAUCAUAGAAAUUUGCAAAAUGAUAGUAAAGAAGAAAAAACCAUGUUGAAUAUAAAUAUUAAAAAUGCCACUCUUUAGUAGUUUAAGUUUUUGGAGAAAAACAAUUAUUUUAUGUAGUUUAACAUGAUAUCAGAGCAAAAAGUUGUAAAGGUGUGUCCCCACAGGCUCCUAGUAUUAUUUAAUUUCUCUCGCAUUUAAUUCAAGUUCAUGUCUUGAGCCUAUCAAAAAGUCUCAAGCCCAGAUAUGAGGAGAAGUGUUGAAAACACCGUUCUCUAGUAGCUUAAGUUUUUGGAUAAAAAAAGUUGUUUUAUAUAAUUUAACAGGUAAAAAAUAAUUAAAAAAUAUCUCUUAAACAAUUGGAAAAAUGCCAUUAUAAGACUUAGAAAGACAAAUGAGGAGACCUAGGAGCUCUGCAUUAUUUGAGUUAUUGUUUGCAAGAAAACUUUAAAUUCAUAUCACACAGUGGCAUCAGCUUGAUACGCCCUUCAUUGAUGUAAUUCUCCACUAAAUUUACCAAAAUAUCAUGUAGAAGAACUAAAAUAUUAUCUCACUAAAUUUAGAGCAAUAUGUUGGUGAAAAGAAUAUUUUCCUAGAGUGUUGUACAAUUUCUUAAAAAAUUUUAUAUGCAAAUGUAUAUGGAAGCUCAUAAUAAUUAAUCCAAAGGACCGAUCCUUACUAAAUCCAUCAGAUUUCUUAAAUAUCCCGACUUCAAGAAAAAGGACUAAAUAUCAGCAAAACUUUAUAUCUCCAAAAGUAACCCAUAAUUUCUAUAAAUUUCUUCAUACGAGAGGCCAAGGUUCAUACUUCAUUGAUACUCUAUUUUCACUAGUAACAUUAAAUUUACUUAAAAUCCAGUGAUAUAGACAAACUGAAGGUUAAUAGUUAUGGAAAAAAAAAGAAGCAAAUUUCUCUCAAAAUUAAUCCUUACUUUCUUCCUCCAAUACGGUCCGGGGAGCCUUAUUUUCUAGAUGCCUCCUUUAAAAAGGAAGCUGACUAGACGUAGAUAGUGUAUGCAUUUAGAGAUAGAUAAAUUAUCACCUAUAUAUAUGUUUCGAGAGGAGGUUCUAUCAAAGGAUAUAUUCCGAAAAUAAUACGGAGAAGAAGAAGAGGCCCCAUAUAUAUAUGCCACUCAAUCCUCCCAUCUAUGAGAAAAUUAUGCCAAUAAUACACAACUCUAGCAGGUCCCUCCAAAUGAAAAAUAACAGUAACCUUUUUCUGUGAGAUCACAAAAAAAAAAAUCUAAAUAUCCAAAGUCAAACAUUAGUUUGCGCAAGUUCUAGAACGAAAUUUCACUUUAUUCCGAGGCAGAUAUGAAUCCUAAACAUUAUCGUAAAUCUUCUCUACGAAAUAAACGCAUCGACCGGUCUACAAAUUUAACAAGCGAGAAGUCAAGUACCAUCUAUGGACCCAAAAUAAUCCAUGCUGCUUUCACGAUCCCGGAUCCAUCAUCAAUCAUUACAACCAGAUCGCGAGAUCGGUCAGCGUUCAUCAACGAGGAUCCCAAACACCCCCAUCAACCCUAAUUGCAGUUGGAGCCACAUGUAGCAAAUAAACUAGAAAUUGACUGGUGGGUAUUUUAGGAACAAGCAUAGAGGUGGCCCAAAGCUGGAGAAAGGGGACAGGGAACUGCCCCACCACAAAUUCAUGGUCACACUGAAGAGCAUUCUUGAAAAUGAACCAUGAAGUUGAUGGAACAAAUGAUGAGGAAAAUGAGACAAAUCUAGUAUUGUAGUCUAAUCUAAGCAAAGAAUCUAUCCACACAAGAAUGAUUGAAAGACCCCACAAAUGAAACAUCACACUCACAUAUUGAAUCUAAUCAAAUGCCCAGAUAAGAACAUUCCUGUUCCAUUGAACUUGUGGUGUGGUUCCAACAUCAAGAACCUAACCAAGAGUGCUACCAACAAGGUUAUGAAUGUAAUUCUACAUAACUUGUCCCAAUGAUUAAUGCCAAAAAUCAGAGCAUGAUUGAGAUGAGAAAAAAAAACCCACAAUACCUUUCUCAGAAUCAAAGUAGACACUCCUUGCCUCUUCACCAACCCCAGCCCCACCACCACCAUCCAAAUCCACCACCUCCUCCUCCUCCUCCUCCUCCUCUAUCUCCAAAGACUCUGCACCAUUAGCUUCUUUUCCAGGUAUGCCCUUGUCCCUCCUCUUCCUUUCUAAGCCCACCACAACUUCCUCCUCUUCAACCACCUCUUCUCCCACCACUCCCCCCCAUUUCCUCUCUUCUUCCACCUCCAUGGCUCCUAAACCCCUCUAUAAACCCUAGAAGUGAAUGAUUAGACCACCCAACAAAGUAGAAGUAGAAGAAGAUGGACACUCUUAUACUAAUUACUCCCUAGUGUUUCCCACACCCCAACUACUAUCUCCUGUGCAAGUAAACAUGCAAUAAAAAUGGUACUGCAUGAGGAUCAAUUGGUUUACUACUCUAUUUAAAUACUUUGCUCUGCUUGUCUUUACUGCUCUGAUUCUAUGCACUUGACUUUUUGGCUGUGGAUAUGGUUUAUCAGGAAGAGAGAUGGAAGAUAUUUGUUAAAUAUUAUAAAAUAUAUAAAUUCCAAUCUCUAAUAGCUUAAAUUUUUAGAGUACUUUAUUAUUUCAAACUCUCAAAUUUUUAUAUGGUAUCAGAGUAGAAGAUUCUGAGUUCGAGCCAUACCAGGUUCCUAGCAUUAUUAGUUUCCUCUCAUUUAAUUCAAAUUUAUGUCAUACGCCUUACAAAAAAAGUUUCAAACUCAGAUAUGACAGAGAGUGUUAAAUAUAAAAAUAUAUAAACACUGUUUUCUAACAACUUAAGUUUUUAGAGUACAAGGGUUAUAUUAUAAUAUUAUAGUGUCUAAAAAAAUAUUAAAAAAAGAAGUAGAAAUAUAGAGAACUUAAUUUUCGUUAUAAACCAUUUUGAUUUGAUUAUCAGAUGUUUUAAAAUUUUGAUUACAGAAUUUACUCUUUUAACUCAUUUGAUUUACAUCUUUCAACGGCUCUUUCAAUAUAAAAUUUAAAUUAAUUAUUUAUUUUAAUAAAUUUAUAGUUGUGUAAUUAUGUAAAAUAUACUAGUUAAAUUCGUAAAGAUAAAUAAUAGAUUCAAAUUUUAAAGUUAAAAAUUAUUAAUCUGUUAAAAUUAAAUAAAUUAAAAGAUUAGAUAGUAACAUUAAAGUUUUUAAAAUUUAAGUUAUAAUUAUAAUAAAUUAUCAAUCGUCUUUUCAGUAAGUGACAAAGGACUUAAUAGAUGAUAAUUGGGAUAUCGAAAUUCAAAGCUUAGUUGAUUUAAGUUCUUAUUGAUAAGAAAAUAAAAAGUCAAGUCAGUGUGAAUGUUAGCUGUAUUUGUUUUUUGGGAAAACUUCAAAAACUCCCCUAUGGUUUCGUAAUUUCUUACUUUGCUCUCCUGUGGUUUAAAAUGUAUCAAUUUGCCUUCCUGUGGUUUUUUUUUUUCUUAUCAAUUUUAUUGUUAUUUUUCUUAAAUCAGUGAUAAAGUUAAAAUUAAAGGAUACUAAAGUAAAUAUUUGAUAAAUCUAGAUGCAUAUCUGAAGUUUUUUACAUAUAAUUUAAUAAAAUAUUAACGAAAAAGCUACCAAAAAGAUAAAAACGAAACCACAGAAGGACAAAUUGAUACACUUUAAAUUAUAGGAUGGCAAAGUGAGAAACUACCAAACUAUACGAGGGUUUUUGAAGUUUUCUCUUGUUUUUUUUAUUAGAAUUAUUUAUUUUUUAUUUCAAUGCACAUGUACGUGAACUGGCGAGACAGGGACAGUUGGGCAAAAUGAGCGUGAAGGAAGGUGGUGCUUGAUUUGACGACUUCCCAUGUUAGGUUGUGCCUUAUUUAUUGCUGCCAUCCAAUUCUUCAACUCCUAUUUAAAGUACUGGAACGUUCUUUAAUGCCCAUUAAUAAUAGUAAUAAGUCGAGAAGAGUUACUAUACUAUCAAAAGUAUAAAAAAUUUGAUAUUUUCGGCUUUUUAUUUUUUAAAUUAACUAUUUAAUUUUUUUGAUUAUUUUUAAUUUUUAAAUUAAUACUAUUAUUAUGUAGGAAUCACUCAAACAUAGAAGUACUAUUUAAUCCUAAGAUGGACCGCAAUCAUUCCAACCGUACAAUUCUUGAUACAAGAGUCAAAAAGCCGGAAGCAUAAAACUCUCUACACUUCCCAUCGCAUAGUAGCUCUACACUAAUAGUAAUAAGGUGAGUAGAGUUACUAUACUAUCGGAAGUAUAAAAGAUCUUUUACUACCGACUUUUUAUUUUUUUAAAUUAACUCAUUUGAUCAUUUCUAAUCUUUGAAUUAAUAUUAUUACCCUAUGGGAACCACUCAAUCCUAGGGGAUGAUAAUCAUCCCAAUCGUAUAAUUCUUGAUCCAAGGACUAAAAAGUCGAAAGUAUCAGAUUCUCUAUAUUUUCGAUAACAUAGUAGCUCUACGCAUAAUACGACUCUACUUAUAAAAGUUACGAUUUUUCUGUUUAUAAUUCUAUGCGUAAAAUUUAUCUGCAUAUUAAAUAAUUUUAUUACUCAGUAGCAAAAUCUUGCAAUUUGAAUUAUGUGCAUAAGCAACUAAAAUUUUUACAUUAUAUAUAUUUUAACAUAUCAAUAAUUUAUAAAAGCAGCAUUUUGAAGGGCCAAUAUAAUAAUAGUCAUCUUUGCUAUAUAUAUAUUAAAUAUCUUGCACACAUAUCAUCGUCACGUUUUAUAUUAAAUUCAAAACAGUUUUUUUUUUUUUUAAAAAAAAAAAUUUCCAACAUGGUUGUCAUUUUGUGUGCCUAAUUCACGUGGCUUUGAUAAUGAUGUAGCAUGCAGAAUAUUCCAUUUAAUUAAACAAGUACUUUGUCCGGAGCUGAUAUUUCUUCUAGUACUUAAAAUUGAAUUAUCUAUUAACACCUUGCGAAUAUUUGCCUUUUUUUUUUUAAGGAAAAAUUUCAAAAACCCUCCAUGUAGUUUCAUUGUUUCUCACUUUAGUACCCUGUGGUUUAAAGUGUAUCAAUUUGCCCCCUUGUGGUUUCGUUUUUAUCUUUUCGGUAGCUUUUUCGCUAAUAUUUCAUUAAAUUAUAUACAAAAAGUUUAGAUACCCAUUUAGAUUUAUCAAAUAUUCACUUUAGUACCAUUUAAUUUUAACUUUAUCACUGAUUUAAGAAAAAAAAUAAUGAAAUUGAUAAGAGAAAGAGAAAAAAGAAACCACAGGGGGGCAAAUUGAUACAUUUUAAGCCACAGGGGGGCAAAGUGAGAAACUACAAAACCACAGGGGUUUUUUUUUUGAAGUUUUCCCUUUUUUUUUAUUCAGAAAAG
rnacentral:lncRNA from 1 species